rnacentral:lncRNA from 1 species
UUUUCUAGCAACGUUGGCAUGUAUGUUAUAUAUGUACAUACAUGAUAUUUUCCAAAGGUCCAUACAUGAUUUUUUUUUUUUUUUUUUUUGGGUGUAUAUAUAGAAUAACAAUGCUCCCAUGGAAGAACUUGAGUCCUGCAUCGGAAGUACAAAGAGGAACUUUUGGGAAGAGACAAAACCGUUUCCCAGCCGUUACUUCCGUGCGUAUACCGUAUGGCUGAUUAACUUUAGCGGUUCUAAAGAAGAGUUUGCUCUAGCUUCGUGCUUGAUAGCGCAAGGAACAGUGGUCAAGAAAAUGUUAAUCAGACCUUCGUCGAUUCCUCUGAGUAACAAGUUCGAGAUAGAAGAGGCAGUGACCAGGCUAAACGAACUUCCAAAAUGUUACACAAAACUUAGUAUCACAACGUUCUGAUGGAAUUUGGUUCGAAUCUAGCUAUUGGUGAUAUAAAGAAAAAAAACCUUUUAUGAUUUGCUGUUUAAUAUGAAAAAUUAUGUAGUGUCCGCUUUCAAGUACUUCUUUUGGCAUUUGAUUUUAUGUUUCAUAUAUUUGGGAUCUAAAUUGUAUCAAUCAAUUUGAAACUUAUCUGAUUUUCUUGAUGAAUUAUUUAUAUUUUUUACUGCAUAUGAUUUGUUUUACCCCUAUUUUGAAGUCUUUGAAAUAGUCCACAUGUCUUUGAGGCUUUGACAUAGUCCACAUUUAUAAGAGACUUCAUUAAAGUUAUGUUAAGGAUUCUAAACAACUUCAUUAAAGUUAGCGUCUAAAUUUGAUUAAUCGGAGCUUAGGCCAGGCCUAGCAAGUUAGUAAAUUAUUUAUUACUUAAAAAAAAAAAAAUCAACAUUUUAUAACAAACAUGAUCUAAAAAAUAAAUGCUAUAAGUGAUUACAUAUAUUCACACAUAAGUUUAUAUGAGAACUAAAAUAAUUUGUUCCGAUAAAUAUAAAAUUGGAAUUGUAUAUAAAAUAAUUACAAUUGUAUUAAAAAGCCUGGAGAUCAUUACUUUUUAAUUAAUGGCAUUGAAGUGUUCAUAGCUUAAGAAGCCUGGAUAUCAUUACUAUUAUCAUUUAUCUCAAUAUUCCCCAAUAAUAUAUAGGGGAUAACCGGAUUAGUCUCUCGAAAUAUAAUCGAAAUCAAUUGUAUUAUAGGAAGACUGAAAAUAAAUUGAUAUUAGACUUAAGAUUUGAUUAAAAGAUGAGUUUCAAGCUAGUAGAAAAAGUGUCUCAAGAAAUAUGUGUGUGACAUAAGGUUUUUUUUCCGGAUAACAGCAUAAAUGAACUCAAGAGAUAUCUGAAGUGAAAAUUUGGCAUUGGUAAGAUCCAAAAAGAGUGCAAAGAUAGAUUUCGGCUUUGAAUUCAUAAGAAGAAUCUCAUGGGACGUUUUCAAGGACCAAACAAUUUGUAAAACAAGAAGCAUCAAUGUAUCGCAGAAGCAGAAAAAAAAAACUCAAUUUGUAACAAAUAAUGGAUAGGAGUUGAAGUUUUGGAUUAGAAUUCUAGCAUGUUAAAAUAUAACUAAACACAAAAUGUGAUUAAUCGGACGAAAACUAGAUUUUCAGCGUAUUAUAAUUAUUUAACGAAAACAUUUUAUUUAGUCAUAUUAUUCUGCUAACAAUUCUUCAUAUAUUCUGUUAUUUUCCUAUUUUUAUGACAUAUCAGUCAAUAUGAAUAUUGAUCAAUAAUUAAUAUAUUAACAUAUAAGCCUCUCAGGAAUUGUUAUUCAAAUUAGUAUCUAAGGAAUUAGUAAGAAGAAUCCGUUGAAUCCUUAAGUACAUGUCUUUUGAGAAAUUAUUUUGGUCAAAAGUCUGGAAUUUUGUAAUAACAAUAUAUUUUAUUCCUUAAUCAGCAUCCUGAUCAACCCUUCUAUAUAUUAAACCUCUAUCUUUUCGUCCCACAAUUUCAAUCAACUCUUCCUUUGUCUUUUUCUUUAUUUCUCUCUAUUGUUGAUCAAAAAUGAAAGUGCCAGUGACAUGGGUGUUCUUAAUGUGUUGCAUCUUUGGUUGCCUAAGUAUAAUUCAUAACAAUGAAUUCGCCGAAGCCAAGAGAUUUUCUAAAUUUGAAGAUUUAGAAAUCGAGAAGAGGCUAAAGGCUAUGAACAAACCCGUAGUCAAGAUCAUCAAGGUAUUCACAUAUUUUUCACAAUCUUGCUGGUAUUCUCUAUUAUAAUUUACAAAUAAGUAUAUAUGCUAAUCUCUAUUAUUGCUGCAAAUAAUAGACUAUAGAUGGAGAAAAAUAUGGAUGCGUGGAUUUUUUCAAGCAACCAGCAUUUGAUCAUCCUUCUAUGAAAAAUCACACAUACCAUUACAAGGUAUAAAAUAUCACUAUAUCAGUUCUAUAUGCUUAUAUUCUCUUUAUUAAGAACAUAAAAAGAAUCGGACAGUAUAAUAUGUUUGUUGUGUUCGACAUGUCUUAGAUGCGUCCAAUAUGGAAGAGAAUGAUGAUAGAAAAAAAGACAAACAAUUCUGGAUUUGGUUACUUAUGGGAGAAUGGUGUGGGUUGUCCCAUUGGCACGGUCCCUAUAAAAAGAGUCACCAAAGAAGAUCUUUUAAGACUAGACUCAUUUGGUGAUGAUUAUAAACCUAGUGGCUCAUGGAACACUACUGCAGAUGAUCCUAAUGAUGUUCUCAAUUACAAGACACAUCAUGUAAGUUGCUUCUUUUAUAAUCAAAACAAGAAUUCUCAAGAUUACAUUUCUGAUAUAUUUAUAAUGAUAAAUUAAAACGUUUUGGGUUUCAAUAUAAAAAUGAAUGGGAUUAGUAUGCGGUGGCUCGAUCAAUAGACCCAGAACAGAGGUUGAAUGGAGCAACAAUGGAACUUUGUAUAGCCGCGCCUAAGGUUGCGCCAACGCAGUUCAGUACUUCUCGACUUCACAUUCAGAUGGGAAAGGAAUUCAUCCAAACCGGUUUUACCGUAAGUUACUUUCAGUACUCAUAAAACCACUACUACUAUAUAGUUUAUUUAUUUAAUUACUUGAAAAUAUAUAUGUAUAUUACAAUGUUUGAUAAAUAGUUGAAUAAAAGAACACAAAUGUUAUUUACAAAUUCAGGUAAAUCCAGGAUUGUACAAAGACCACAAACCUCGGACUUUCGUCUAUACAAAUGUAAGUCAUGAGUCACAUCACGCUACUAAAAUUAUCUCUUUCGAAAUUUAUCAUUAUGUUACGUUAUUGACUAUAUAAUAUGUAUGAAGUAAUUUAUUUUAUUGAGAUAUAUAAUGAUGGAACAGGCAGGUGGGAAAUCAUGUUACAAUAGCAACUGCGACGUUGGAAUAAUGCUCGUUCGUCAAGAUUUUCCACUUGGUACGGCAUUAACGCCAGUAUCUGUUCGUGGUGAUAAGAUAAGUCACUAUGGAAUCUUUGGUCUAAUCAAGGUUUUGCUCAUUUCCUUAUCCUCCUAUCAAAAAAAAAAAUCAUACUAUUUGGUUCACCCAUUACAAAGUUUUGCUCGGUAUGUAAUAUCAAACUUUACCUAUAUUAUGUUUGUGGGAUAACAGGACCAAAAAAAUGGAAACUGGUGGUUGCAAUUUGGUGAUCAGGGAGAAGAAGUUGGAUUUUGGCCGUCGACUAGGUUUCGCGAACACUAUGGGAAUUUGGUCGAGUGGGGUGGAGAAGUGUAUAGCGCAUCACUACCGAGUCCUGAAAUGGGAUAUGGAUAUUUUCCUAAGGAAGAGGAAGCUUAUGAUGUAUAUAUGAAACGUAUAUCGGUACUCGACGAUGGUUAUAACGUAGACCGAAGUGUGGACUAUCUCCAACAAUUUUCAGACGACGAACGCGGCUAUAGAGUGAUAGACGACACCAAGAUUUCCAAAUACCCUCGUGCCGGUCAUAUUGUCUUCUUUGGUGGUCCGGGAAAAAUAUGAAAAAGGAUUAGAUCUUUGUGAAAUUCAAAUGAAAACGUUACAUUGACUUGAUUAUUCAGUGAAUUAUAUCGCCUUUAUUGGGUUCUUUAUAACAAAGUUUUAAUUAAUUGAACUGAAUUGGUCCGGUAAAUACAUAGCCAAGUCCACAUAAAAAAAUUUCAUAAACCAAUUCUCUUUGUUUUUGUUAUUUAUUCAACCAAAAACCAUCCUCUAUACUUAUUAGAUUUAUCUGAUUUUUUUAAAUUAAAAUGGAUAUCUCAGUGUAAAUAUUCUAGUAGAAUAAUCUCUAAUACUUAAGAAAAAUUAAUACAGCAGAAACUAUAAAUACACUUAUCAAUCAAAUCUUAUCCCAAUUUUUUAGAUUUUUGUUUUAUUUUCUUUUAGACAUGUUAAAUGUAUUUGAAAAAAAAAAUUAUCCCAUAUGUGUGUAAUAGAUAAACAUAAGUAUGUUAAUAAAAAUGUUGAACAAUAAAAAAUAAGUUAAUACAACUAAUUAAAGAAGGUCUAAAUAUUUUUGAAUUUUGUAAAUUAUACUAUUACAAGAUCUUGAUUUAUUUUUCCAUAUUUUAGGACAUAUUAUAAGAUUUGAAUCAUCUGAUCUUUAAUUUGACUGGGGAUAUGUACUUGUAUCUAUUAUACAUUCAUAAUUUAUGGAUUUGGCUUCCAUAUACCCUGUUUAUGAAUAACCAAUAUUCAAUGAUUAUAAUCAAAUGUAAUUAAAACCUCCAAUAUAAAUAAAUCUCUACAGCAUAAAUACAUUGUCAAGAUAAUAUCUCUCUUACACACAAAUAUAUAUAAUCAUGUACUAGCAACUUCACAUAAUGAGAAUUCUAAUCAACAAUUAAAAGUCUGGACAAUGGCUUCCCUUGGUUUGAGUCUCUGUCUUUUCUCCGUUCUUCUCAUGAGCCUUUGUCAAAUUCCUACAGCUAUCGAAGAUGAAAGAAAGGCAAGUCAUUUCUGUUUUGUCUCGUAACCAUAAUAACUAAUCUACGGUCUUAAUAAAUUUGUAUUGGUCUGUGACAUUUUGGAGCAGGUGUAUAUUGCGUACAUGGGAGCUCUUCCUUCAAAAGCUUCUUACUCUCCUAUGUCUCACCAUCAGAAUAUCCUUCAAGAAGUUAUCGAAUCAAGGUUUGAUAUAACAAUCUUAAAUUUCUCAUUACUAAAACCUGUUUCUUGUUGUUUACGUUAUAAUUUUUUCUAUUUUUAAUCUGCAGUUCCGUUGAAGAGUCUUUGGUUAGAAGCUACGGAAGAAGUUUCAAUGGUUUUGCAGCCAGACUUACUGAAUCUGAAAGAGAUAAACUUAUGGGUGAGUGUGUUUUUAUGAUUGUAACAGAUUAUAUAUGAGACUCUCGUCAUGAUGGUUAUUUGAUGAUAAUGUCAUGUGUGAAUUGAAGGCAUGGACGGUGUGGUUUCGGUUUUUCCAAAUACCAAUUAUAAGCUUCUUACAACAAGAUCUUAUGAGUUCAUGGGACUUGGUGACAAGAUCAAGCAUGCCCCUAAUGUUGAGAGCAAUAUAAUAAUUGGUGUAAUCGACACCGGAGUCUGGCCUGAAUCCAAGAGUUUUUCAGAUAAAGGCAUCGGGCCAAUACCAAAAAAAUGGAAAGGAACUUGUUCAGGAGGAGCUAAUUUCACAUGCAAUAGGUAAGUAGCAUUUUCACAUAUUCUUCUCAAAGUUUCUUGUGUUACACGAAAGGAUCAAAAGAUAAAGAUUAAUAACCCUAAUCCAAAUAUUACAGGAAGUUAAUUGGAGCACGAUACUAUGUGCAGAAUUCAGCAAGAGACACUGACGGUCAUGGGUCACACACGGCUUCAACAGCCGCAGGAAACAAAGUAAAAGGAGUGAGUGUCAACGGUGUGGCACAAGGAACUGCGAGAGGCGGUGUGCCUUUAGGUAGAAUUGCUAUUUACAGAAUUUGCGAGCCAGCAGGAUGUAAUGCCGCGUCAAUGUUAGCUGCGUUUGACGAUGCUAUAGCGGACGGAGUGGAUGUUAUAACCAUUUCUAUUGGAGGAGGUGUUACUAAACUUGAUAUUGACCCUCUCGCUAUUGGAUCAUUUCACGCGAUGCGCAAAGGGAUUGUUACCACAGCUGCUGCCGGGAAUGAUGGCCCUAAACUUGAAAAAGUGAUUAACAUUUCACCGUGGCUCAUAACCGUUGCAGCAGGUACAAUUGAUAGAAAGUUUGUUACUAAUGUGGUUACUGGAGAAGGCAAAACCAUACCGGUAAGUAGUUUUUCUCAUGUUUUAGUUGAUAUAUAUUGUCCUCAAUCAUGGUGAUUAAGUAUGAACGUACAGGGAAGAUCGAUCAAUGACUUUGACUUAAAAGGGAAGAAGUAUCCGUUGGCAUACGGGAAAACUGCCUCAAAUACCUGUCCAGAAGAGAAAGCAAGGUAACUUGUGUCUCAAGGACUCCACAGCGCCCUAACUUGUGACUCAAGCAUUUUUCAUUUUAUGGAUAUAUCUUCAUUUACUGGCAUUCAUUCUCUUGUAGGGCUUGCGCCAGUGGUUGCCUGAACACGGUACAAGGAAAGAUUGUUGUGUGCGACAAUUCAAACAAUGUUAUGGAACAAAAAGCCGCAGGUGCAGUUGGAACUAUCCUUCAUGUAACCAAUGUUGAUACUCCUGGUCUUGGUCCUAUUGCGGUUUCAACCUUGGAUGAUACCAAUUAUGAAGCAUUACAUUCUUACGUUCUCUCCUCACCGUAAGAAUUUUCUUCGCUAGACACUCUUUUAAUUAGAUAUUUUUUAAGAUGUUUGAUGCAAAUCGUUGAUGUGAAAUAGAAACCCGCAAGGAACUAUAAUGAAGAGUGGGACAGUUAAAGACAAUGAUGCUCCCAUAGUUGCUUCUUUCUCUUCUCGUGGUCCGAACAUUCUCUUUAGUGAUAUCUUGAAGGUAACAAAAUUCAAAGAACGUUGCAUUUGCAUGAAUUAGGUUAAGUGUCUUGACAACUACUAUAUAUAUAUGCAGCCGGAUAUAACAGCUCCAGGAGUAAAUAUAUUAGCAGCAUAUACACCAGUGGCUGGAACCGCGCUUCCAGGACAAAGCGUGGAUUACUAUUUCAUGAGUGGAACAUCAAUGGCUACCCCUCAUGCCGCAGGUGUAGCUGCCUAUGUCAAGACGAUCCAUCCUCAUUGGACCACUUCUGCUGUCAAAUCUGCUAUCAUGACUACCGGUAUCAACAUCGAACCGAAUUUUUCACUGAAGAAAAUAUUAUUGAUGUGACAUCUGAUCUGAAUCUUUUUAUGUUUUUGUUGCAGCUUGGGCAAUGAACCCUUCGAAAAAUGCAGAAGCUGAGUUUGCAUAUGGAUCAGGAUAUGUUAACCCUUCAGUAGCAGUUGAUCCAGGACUUGUUUACGAAAUACCUAAAGAGGAUUACUUGAACAUGCUUUGCUCUAUGGACUACUCAUCCAAAGGACUUAGUACUAUUGUGGGCGGUAACUUCACUUGUUCUGAAAAAUCUAAGAUUAGCAUGAGAAACCUCAACUACCCAUCAAUGACAGCCAAAGUUUCAGCCUCAUCAUCUUCUGAUAUAACUUUUUCAAGAACCGUCAAAAACGUUGGGAAAAAGAGAUCCACUUACAAGGCAAAACUGUCUGGGAAUCCCAAACUCAGCAUCAAGGUUAAGCCAGAGACUCUCUCUUUCAAGUCACUGGGGGAGAAGAAGUCUUACACCGUUACAAUAUCAGGCAAGAGUCUUGCUGGUAUUUCUGGUAUUGUGUCUGCGUCUCUGGUCUGGUCGGAUGGUUCACACAAUGUGAGAAGUCCUAUUGUUGUGUACACUUAGGCAUGCAUCAAUCUCAUUUUGAAGACAAUAAUUGCAUGUAUUUGAUGUUAAAUAAAUUUUAGUUUGUUGGGUUCUAUUUUGUUUUACCUUUCAUGGUUCAAACUCAGUCUAGCUAGGUUAUAUAUGAUAUAACUUGUGAUGUAAUAAACUAACUAAAUGGUUCACCUCUUCAAAUUCUAAUUAUCCUACAACUUGGACUGAUCCAUUUUGCCUCCCAUUAUCAAACACAACAUUCACUCCGUUCUACAAAUUUAUAAUCCAUUACAUUUUUCCGACAUGAACUAUAUAUGAUGUAUUUGUCGAAAGUAUUUCAUGCAUGUGACAUUUUAACGUUUUUAGGAUAUUUAUUUGAAUGUGCUUCUUAAUUAAAUUAAUUCUAUAGACGCUUUCCAUGCGUCAUGCAUGGAACAUUUCUUUCGAAAUUAUAUAUGUUUUUUUCGGAAAAAAAAAUGUGUUUUGGGGUAAGAAAUCUCUAUUAGUUAUCUAUACUUGGAAGUAAGUUUUUUGUCAUAUAUUUUUAAAAUCUCUAUACCAACUCUAAAUUUCAGAAUAUACGAUAUCAAAGUAUCUUUGGAAAAGGAAAGAAUAAUUAUUUAUACAUCGAUCUACAUCGAGUCCUACUAAUUAUAUGUAAAUAUGAAAUUAUUACUGUCGUUUCAUUAGAUUUUUAACUUUAAGGUUAUCCCAUAUUUUCAUCUUCAAUAGCUGUAAUAUCACAACAAAUACCAUCCCAUAUUUUCAAAAAUGUUAAGAACAAUUUAGUAAAGACUUAAUAAUAAAUUAUGUAAUCAAUUUUAUAAUUUAUAAAGAAAUCCAUGCUCUCUAGAGAGUAUUAAAACCAUUAUCUGUACUAAAAUAAAUUGAAAUAAAUAAAAAAAAUCUUUAAAAUGGAUCCUAACAUAUUAUUAUAUUUUGUAAAUAAAUUCAAAUAACAUUACAGAAACCAUGAUGUGUGAAAACACCAUUAAUCAAUCAAAUCUAUUCAUAUUAUUAUGUAUAGGUUCUUAAAUAAUUAAAUAAUAAAUAAAAUAAAAAAUAGAUAAUGGUAUUUUAUAAAAACAAUCUAACAGUAGUAAUAAACCUUGCCAUAGACUGAAAAUAUUAAAUAUAUAAUUAAUUCCCAUAUUUCAUUGCAUUGUCACGAUCAUUUCUCUCCAUAAGUAAUAUAGCCACAUAUUCUCUCUAUAUAUAUGAUAUGAACUAGCAACUUCAACUCAUUGUUGUCAACAACAGUAAAAGGUCUCGUCUCUCGAUCGAUAAUGGCGUCCAUUGGCUUAGUCCUAUGUCUUUCCUCAAUUCUUCUCAUGAGCCUUUGUCAGAUUCCUACAGCUAUUGAAGAUGAAAGAAAGGCAAGUUAUUUAUGUUUCGUCUAGUAAACCACAAUAAUUUUAUAAGUAUGAUCUAAAUUUGUAUUGUGGUCUCAUUCACUGGUUGUGACAUUUUGACGCAGGUGUAUAUUAUUUACAUGGGAGCUCUUCCUGCAAAAGAUUCUUACUCUCCUAUGUCUCACCAUAACAGUAUCCUUCGAGAAGUUAUCGAAUCAAGGUUUGAUAUAAAACUCUCAACAACUUAGGGGGCUGAUCAAGCUAUAUUAAAAAUCAAAAAUAAAUUGGGAGGAUUUGUAAAUAGUUUUCUAUAUAAAUAUUUUAACAAUGUGAAUUUAUUUACCAAUGUAUUGUUGAUGAGCCGGCUCGAGUCAAAUUCUUAUUACCCAAAUUUUGUUGCUUGUUGUUUACGUUAAUGUUUGUUUAUUUUUGUUAUGCAGUUCCGUAGAAGAUUCUUUGGUGAGAAGCUAUGGAAGAAGUUUCAAUGGUUUUGCAGCCAAACUCACUGAAUCUGAAAGAGAUAAACUUAUUGGUGAGUACUUUCAUGAUUAUAUAAAGAUUAUCAAACUCUUCAUGAUUGUUAAUUUGAUGAUGUGAUAUUGUGUGAUUUGAAGGCAUGAAAGGUGUGGUUUCGGUAUUCCCAAGCAAGGUUUAUAAAAUUAUGACGACGAGAUCUUAUGAGUUCAUGGGACUUGGUGACAAGAGCAACCAUGUCCCUGAGGUUGAGAGCAAUAUAAUAGUGGGUGUAAUAGACGGUGGAAUCUGGCCUGAAUCUAAGAGUUUUUCAGACAAAGGCAUCGGCCCAAUACCAAAAAAAUGGAAAGGAACUUGCGCAGGAGGAGCUAAUUUCACAUGCAACAGGUAAGUAGCAUUUUCACUAAUUCUUCUCAAAGUUUCUUGUGUGACACGAAAGGAUCGAAAGACAGAGACUAAUAACCCUAAUUUAAAUAUAUACAGGAAGGUAAUUGGAGCACGAUACUAUGUGCAGGAUUCAGCAAGAGACACUGAAGGUCAUGGGUCACACACGGCUUCAACAGCCGCAGGAAACAAAGUAAAAGGAGUGAGUGUGAACGGUGUGGCACAAGGAACUGCGAGAGGCGGUGUGCCUUUAGGUAGAAUUUCUGUUUACAAAGUGUGCGAGCCAGCGGGUUGCAGUGGUGAUCGACUGCUGGCUUCGUUUGACGAUGCUAUUGCGGACGGGGUCGAUGUUAUAACCAUUUCUCUUGGAGGCGGUGUUACUAAAGUUGAUAUCGAUCCUAUUGCUAUUGGAUCAUUUCAUGCGAUGACCAAAGGGAUUGUUACUACGGUAGCGGUUGGAAACGCCGGCAUUGAACUUGGAAAAGCGGAUAACGUUGCACCGUGGCUCAUAUCCGUGGCUGCUGGCUCGACUGAUAGAAGAUUUGUUACUAAUGUGGUUAAUGGAGAUGACAAGAUGAUACCUGUAAGAAGUCUUUUUCUUGUUUCAGUUGAUAUAUGAAUGUGCUUGUCGUCGUCUAUCAUGGUGAUUAAAGUAUGUUCAUACAGGGGAGAUCGAUCAAUGACUUCGACUUAAAGGGAAAGAAGUAUCCUUUGGCGUACGGUAAAACUGCUUCAAACAACUGUACAGAGGAGCUAGCAAGGUAACUUGUGACUCAAAGAAUCCAUAGUGACCUAACUCACUAUACUAUGUUAUGGAUAAUUGGAUAUAUCGUUUGAUACAUUUUUUUUUAAUGGUAGAGGUUGCGAUAGCGGCUGCCUGAACACGGUGAAAGGAAAGAUUGUUGUGUGCGAUGUUCCAAAUAAUGUUAUGGAACAAAAAAAUGCAGGUGCGGUUGGAACUAUCCUCCAUGUAAACGAUGUUGAUACUCCUGGUCUUGGUCCUAUUGCGGUUUCAACCUUAGAUGAUACCAAUUAUGAAGCAUUAAGAUCUUACCUUCUCUCCUCACCGUAAGAAUCUGUUACAUAAACAAAUCUUUAGUUAGAUUCUCUUAUGUUAAUGACAUUUUUCGAUAUGAAACAGAAACCCGCAAGGAACUAUAAUGAAGACUGAGACAGCUAAAGACAAUGAUGCUCCAAUCGUUCCCACCUUCUCUUCUCGCGGUCCAAACACUCUCUUUAGUGACAUUUUGAAGGUAACGAACACUCAAAAGUCAAAACAAAUUAACCAAACUAUUUGGUUAUAACAGUUGAUCAAUGACUUGAGGUAUAUAUAUAUGCAGCCUGAUAUAACAGCUCCAGGAGUCAAUAUACUAGCAGCAUAUUCACCGUUGGGUCAAACGGCACUUCCUGGACAAAGCGUGGAUUACUAUUUCAUGACCGGAACAUCUAUGGCUUGCCCUCAUGCCGCAGGUGUAGCUGCUUAUGUCAAGACGAUACACCCUGACUGGUCAGCUUCUGCCGUAAAAUCCGCUAUCAUGACUACGGGUAAUUAUCAACAUCAAAUCGAUCUAAUCUCUGAAGGAAAAAAAUAAGUUGAAUGUGAUCUGGAUUGAUCCUUUUUGUUUUCAUGCAGCUUGGGCAAUGAACUCUUCCAAAAACGCAGAAGCAGAGUUCGCAUAUGGAUCAGGAUUUGUUAACCCUACAGUGGCAGUUGAUCCAGGGCUUGUUUACGAAAUAGCCAAAGAGGAUUACUUGAACAUGCUUUGCUCUUUGAACUACUCAGCUCAAGGCGUUAGUACUCUUGCGGGCGGAACCUUUACUUGUUCUGAACAAUCAAAGCUUACUAUGAGAAAUCUCAACUACCCUUCAAUGUCAGCCAAAGUUCCAGCUUCAUCAUCUUCAGAUAUCACAUUUACAAGAACAGUCACAAACGUUGGGAAAAAGGGAUCCACUUACAAGGCAAAAUUGUCUGGGGAUCCCAAACUCAGUAUCAAAGUCGAACCAGAUACGAUCUCUUUCAAGUCAACUGGGGAGAAGAAGUCUUUCACAGUUACAGUCUCUGGCAAGAGUCUUGCUGGUAUUUCUAGUAUCGUGUCAGCCUCCCUAAUUUGGUCAGAUGGAUCACACAAUGUGAGAAGUCCUAUUGUUGUGUAUACUUAGACGUCAACCCCAAAGUCGAUAUAAUAAAAGUAUUAUGUUAUGGUCUGUAUUCUAAAGCCCUUCUCGGUAAAUAAGGUAAGUGUUUACAUUUCAGGGUUCAAACUAAGUCUAGGCAAAAAGGUCACCUUUUGGAGCUCUACCUAUCACCCUUUCCUGGGAACAUUCCCUCCAUAUAUUCGUCAAAGUUUUCAUCAUCCUUGCCUUCUCUAUCACCACCUUCUGCCUUGCGCUUUCCCCUUUUUCCUGCGAUAUGAAACACAUUCUAUUUCACUCCUUCCCCAAAUUAUAAUAUUUUCAUAACUGUUUCUACAAAGAAUAGACCCAAAAUAAUUGAACUCCGCAAAUUACACACCUUUUCUCCUCUCCUCUUCAUCUGCGUCAUCUUCACUGCAUGAUUGAUUCCUGAAUUCCAAAAUUAUUAUAUCUCACUUAAUGUAAUCCAAAAAAAGAAAAAACAUGACUUCUAGUUGUAAAUUAACAUGAAUCUCUUUAUCUAUACCGUUUUCGUUUCUGCCUUUUCUUUUCUUUACUCUCUGACCUUUCGCCCUCUUUUCUUUUUUUGUAGUAAAGCUUGUCCGCACAUCUGGUGCCAAAAGAUGUUUGAUAAUGUGAAAAAUAAGGAAAGCAGAUAGUCAAGCUUAAACAAAAGCACUGAAACAAACCAGGAUACUACUGGUCGUAGGUAUUCAAUUUCCCAAACCACUACUAAUUCUAUUCUGAAGGCAUAAAAGAAAUAGAGAUGACAAGCUGUACGAUGAAUGCCUAUACCUCUUACAAGCUACGAGUUUUACAAGGGCUUGUUUGUCUUCUCCAGCUUCAUGAUAAGAAAAGUUCACCUACAAAAACAGCGAUGCUCAGUGAAUUAAUCCGACCCAAACAUUAGAACAAUAAUUGAGAAAACAUCUAAAGAUACAUGCCUCAUAGCUUGCUAAACCGUCCUUUUCAUCACAAUGUUUGCUCCCACACAUAAACUGCCCUGACAGAAAGCAGUUGCAUUCACACUCAAGACUCUUAUCACAGCUACUUCAAAAUAAAUCACAGGCAAAGAGUUUGAAGCAAUAUUAACCUUUCCCAGUCAUUACUUCCUUUUCCGUUCUCCAUCUUAAACCCAUCUACAAACAUUCAAAAUAAGUCAACGGAACAAAAGUAAUACAGGAAUUUACGUGAGAUACAGUAACUAUGCAUCUGAUUUUACCUGACCAGUCUUGUAUCUUGACAUGUCAGCUAUACAGUAUCUUCAAUCAGUCAAGGAGUUAGACAUGGUGUACUCAUCCAAACUCCCGUUAAUUAGUACUUGAACAAAAGUAAGUAUUAGCUAUAUUAUGUUUUAAAGGAUACUCUUUAAAAAGCUUAUCAUAGUAUCGCUUCACCAAUCUUUGCUCCCAAGAAGGAUUAAAAUCAUCUUCCUCAGAACGUAUAAACCUAUAAAAGAAAAAAAUUCCAAAAAUUACAGAGUUCAAAAGAUUAUUAACAAUGAAAAAGUAAAAGAUACAUGCUAACAUAUGGCAUAUACCAAGUAAGAUUCAAAACAGAAACUUGCAGAUUCAUCAAGAAAGCAUCCCAACACAAAAACAUAUACAAAACUUUACCAUACCUGUAUCCUUCUCUUAGUGUGUCCUGAUCCGUUUUAACGGGUAACUUAACUUCAACUGGCUUAUCCUCCCCAUAAAAACGAACUGUAAAGCAACAAAAACAAAAGAUGAAACCACAAAAUCUGGAAAAAAACAAGAAUACCAAAUCCUGAACCUCAUUAUAAAACAGUAGCUUAACAACUAGGCAAAAGAAAUCAACUUUCCCAAUGGAGAACCACAAAACAAAAGAAAACACAUGUAAGGCUAACUGUAGCCUCCUUCCUAGCUCAGAGGAGAAGACUGUUCAUCAACCAGCUUUGAUGUUGGACACAUGGAUUUGGGGUAAACAGAAAGCCACUUAUUUACCCUAAAUUCCAAAACUUUUUGUCCAUUUAAACCUAACUAUCGAGCUACAAAUGGAACAUUGAAAGAAGUGUUAGUACCGUAGUCUUUCAUAAACUUCUUAUGCCGCUCGUAAGCAUUCAAACCACGAAUAUGCGCUUGGUAUUGCCUACAGAGACAAGAAUGAGCAGUCAAACUAAGAAAAACACAUAAAACGAAUCAAAUCGAAAGAAGGAAGACUAACUGCUUGCGUUCUUCUCUGUCGUAGAUGUCAGAUCUGAUCCUCGCCGAAGAAGCCAUGUUUCGCCGCCGGUGUCCGAUGGAACUGUCGUAGACCUUUCUUUUAGCUUAAUCUCCGUCUAUUUUUCUCCGAUUGUACCAAUUGUUUCUUAAUGGGCUGGGCCUAAUAGACAAACAUAUGGGCCAUUUAAAUGUAUGCCAGGCCACUGCUUGGUUUAUUCUUCAACCAUCAUCACUUAACCUGUUUUGUAUUAUCCAUUGUAUGUUUUUUGCCUAAUGCACACUACACUGUGGUAAAUAGAUGUAGAAUCUAAAUCAGUGUUGGGGCAUUAAGAGGGUGCUUUUAUAACAUAAGAACUGACAAUAACACCCAAUAUUUGUCAAACAUUUUAAUAUCUGGACAGAACCUGACAAUAUCACCUAAGAGAGGACAAAGGCAUGAGGGAGUAUGAAGAAGAAUACUGAAACGUCUUGUACAAGAAUAAAUCUAAAGAGUAAAACCUCUAAUAAUACAGAUCAAACCCUACGACUACAAACAGCUUCCUGUGAGUUAGAAAGAGCCAACCAAGAGGCUUAAACCAACCAUGGUAUAUCUUAGGGACGUCACGUGAAUACUUUCUCCGAUGUGUUUGUAUAAUACACUUCAUCUCUCACUUCCUUUUCUCCUUUGAAUAUCUCAGUAUCAUCGAAACCUGUACACAUUUUUCAACUUUUUCAAAAACUCAAAAAUCUUCGAAACGGAACAGAAAGUGUGAGGAUGCUGAAUCUUUUUUACCUGGUCCCAAGUCUUCGGUAUCAUCGAUGAUCGGUACUACUUGAUUCCUAUGAAUAGACUCGAGCAACUUCCAGUCCGCACUUCCAUUUCCUUCAACACAAGCUAGGUCUCCGGAAACCCAGUCUCUAAAAACAUCCAUCCUGUUGUGUGAUAACGGGUCUAGUGUGUCAUCCCCGGUUACAGGACCCCUAGAGGAGACAGAGAACGGUUAGAUCUAUCCUUUUGUACUCUCUGGAAACUAAGGAUUUGACUGAGAAGGGCAAGAUUUACGACUUACAGUUGUCUGAGGCGCAUGUUGUACUGAACAAAUACAAGAUCGCUGAGCCGUUUCUGCUCAAUGGAGUUCUUCGAUUGGUAUAUUUGUUCGAAAGGUAUCUGGUUUCUCCUGCAGCUAACUGAUGAACUGCACGUUUGACUAAGAACACGUACCGCAAAACGUGAGAGGUUCAAGCAGCUUUCUCCAUAUGUAGACCACCACUCAGCUAAGAACCAAGCAUGUAAAGAGAUUCCAAAUAAGAGAAGCACAAAAAUGCAAUUUACCCAAGAAAAGUCAAAGGAAAAUUAACCAUACCAGGAAGCGUUGUGUCCCGAGCUCUGAUUGCCAAGUUUCUUCCAAAAACUCCAUUGCCAGCUUUGUAAGAGGAUAACUCCUUGAUGAUUUUAUCUUGAAUCUUGUCGUCAGGAACCAAUCUCUCGACGCAAUCGAGCACCGAUAGAAUAAUUUCACUACGCAUUUCUUCGUUGGAGUUAUAAUAGAAUUUUGGGUUAAGAAAGAAACCAGCAGCAAGCAAAGGAGAAUGCUGUUGCUGCUCCCACCAUCGAUCUAUAAUUUUCCAGUAUAUCAUGUAACUCUCCCUCUCAACCAGAUGUGUUUUGAUUGCAUCUUUUGCUCGGUACAGUGCUGCAUAGACAUACCCCAUUGCAGGCCUCUUUUCAGAACAAACUAUCCUCAAAGCCCGCAAAAGAGGACCGGUUAAAUGGUUUACCAAAUCUACUGCCUUCCAAAAGCCUUCAUCAGUGAUGGCAUUCAUCACCAACCCGCUGGGAUCUUCCGAAUACGAACAUUCAUUCCACUCUGCCGAAGUAACCAUAGCCUGCAGAUUGGAUUUGAGCUCGGCUAUUCUACCCAAUGUAGCAAAGUUUGUGGCAGAAGUGCUAAAUGCUGGUUGCAGGAUAUCAUUACCCGAAGUAAACUUCCACAUCAAGUUCAAAACACCACUACGGUUGUAAAUAAAUCUUGUGAUAUCUCGAGCCUGUUCGAUAGUCUCACUUAUCCAGCCUAGUUUCCCAAAUUCCUCGAGCAUCUGAUCAAUGCAAUGUGCAGCGCAAGGAACCCAAUAUAGAGAAGGAUACACAAGCAUCAACUUUUUCCCAGCAUCAAUGUAGUGAUCUUCGCAUUUUGUAAUCACUUGAACAACAUUGGCAUUGCCAACUUCUUCAACCAGCUCCCUAAGUAGCUCAAACAACUUAUCCGGCGAAGAUAACAUCUCAGACGCGUCCACAGAUUUCAGAAAGACUAUCUUUUCUGGACAGUAAACCAAAAAGUUAAGGACUUUGAGGCCUUUAUCAGUGUUCCAUUCCUCAACCAAAAUGGAACAGCCUGUCCUCUUCCACAUUGCUUUGCAGUCAUCAAUUUCUUUUGUACUUUCCUCUACACAAUUCUUCAGUAUCCAACCUCGAAGGUCAUCAUGAGUCGGGGCAGACACUCCGAAUCCUCCAGAGGCAAUAGCAUCGAUCAUUGGUUGAAAAUUAACAGAGUUUACUGCAUCCAAAUCAGCUCCAAUGCCAAACAAAAACCGUCCAAUCGCCAUAUGGAUUGUAUUCUCCUUAUCUCGAAAGGACGGGUGCACAAUGUUCUUUACACUACUAAUCGCCACUGGAAUCAAAUUGUCCAUGUCUCUACUAAUCAGGUCAUUAUUGUUGCUCCCACUACCAUUCUCAAAAGCAUUCUUUCUACUCCUGUAAGUCCUUUGCUUUGUUCUGCCACCCAUCACACUCUCGGUUUGCACAACCACAUCCGAACUACCCGGCGAUUUAAAAUCGUCAUUCAUAUCAGACUGAACCAUCAGCAUUUCUCCUUCAAUAGGAGGUAAAGCAGCUACAGACAAAGGCUCUGAACUGGAUUUUUGCCUCUUCCUCUGGCGUCUCACGGUUCCAUCGAUACACUGCUGCAAAAAGAGCCUCACAUCUUCAGGAACUUGGUCACAGAUCGUGCCUUGUCCCUUUUUACCAGCAAGAUGUUCCUUCACCCUCGUAAUACCUCCCCCUUUGAACAUUUUCCGACAGUAGAGACACCUCAUCUGAAGUCUAUCACCGUAUUUGUAAAUUUCACAAUGCUUCCAAGCAUUGUCUUGUUUCUGCGGUGUAAGAGCUACAGGUUCCAAUUCUGAAUCCAUCAAGCCUGUAUUCAAUACAGAAGAAGAAGGAAAGGUAGAAACUUUGUAAAUGGAAAUAACAUAUUAAGCCAAGAUCCUAAAAUGAAAGCUUUGAGAAAUUUCACAAACCAAUGAUAUCAAAAUUCAGAUAAUUCACACAAGUCACAUUGAUUUAACCAUUUUCAAAUACGCAAAUUCUAAAACCACAUGCACCAAAACCUCAACCGAAUUACACAAUUCCGACAGGAACAAAACAAAAAAAGAGCAAACCCGUAAAUUUGUUGUACAAGAAGAUGAAGAAAACGAACCUGUUCUGGUUUGUGGCCGGUUACGAUGAAUCGGUUUCGUAGAAAAGUGAUAAAAUUCCGGUACGGUAGCUUCGGUUCCGGAGGGGAGGAAACUGGAACCAGCCGGAGACGGAGGUUUCCGAUGAACGGAGGAGAGAAUCGGAGAAAGAUAAGAGAGAUGCAAUGUUUGGGAGAAAUUGACCCGGCCCGAUUAGGGUUUGCAGAAAUAGGUUUGGCAGCUUUUUUCUGGUUUAUGACCUAUAAAUCUGGCAUAUCUUUAUUAUGACGUCACCUAUUUGUUUUCCGUUUUUAACACUUUUUUGUUAUCCUUUUAAAUUCUAAAAACGACGUCGUUGGCUAAUUAGGGUAUCUUCUGAUUAAACGGCGUCGUGUGUUGUUAUUUUCCGAUUAGCGUCGGUCGUCUUCUUCUCCUCAGUCUUUUGAUCUGGUUUUGCUUCAACGUGAAACAGCAACUGAGUUUUGAAGAUGAUGUUUGUAUGUAAUCUCUUCUUCUGAGAGAAACCUCUUUGUGAUUCAAAUAGCAUCAGAGGUAUGUGUUUAGUUUGUGAUUGAUCAAAGUUGAAGAAGUAUGAUAAGAAUUAAGAAGAACUUGUUGAUCGACUUCUAAAAAACUCGUGAUUUUGAGAUUGUAGCAAAGAGUGAGUGACAUUGUAUAUGUGAAUACUAAUACUGUAGUUGCUGAAAUAAAAUGUGUAGGUAGGUAUAUGUACAUUUGUUUUCGCUGAGGCAUUUCGUCGAACACUUAGACGACGACUUAAAGAUGGAUAAGCUUCUUGAGAAUCAUCAGUUUGCGACGCAUGCCAUUGCUGCCUCGGCUUCUGUAUCGCUAGGAACUGCUCUCGCUUAUCCUCUGGAUACAAUCAAAACCAUAAUCCAGGUUUCUUCCAAUCUUCUUCUUCAACAAAUUUGUAAUUUAUUAUUUCAAUCACUUCAUUUCUGUGGUGUUGAUUUCAACAUUGAACUGUAGGUUGGUUCAGGACCCAGUAAGAAAUUAGGCCCCUUUCAAGUUGUGAAUAGAGUUCUUCGCUUCUCUGGCUAUUCAGGUUUGCAAAUUACUCUUUUUAGGUUUCAAUCAUUUUCUGAUUCUGCAUCAGGCAAAAUGGUGUAUUGUUUGAUCGUUUCUGGUCUUUUUGGACACCAAUGCAGGUCUGUACAGUGGUCUUGGAUCGUUAACUUUAGGAAGAAUUUCAGGUGUUGGUGCAAGGUUUGGUGUCUAUGAGAUUCUAACAGCUUUCUACAAAGGUAUUACGCAGAUCCCAUGUCUCGAUGAUUCGAUAUUAGGUUUUUGUGACUAAUUCUUCUGUCCAAGAGAACAUCAAUUAAUUAGACAAGAAGCAACCAUUAAAAGGAUAUUGCCAUCUGUUCAUAGAUUUUAGAAUUUGUACCAGUAUUAUUAUUAUUAUCCAUUCAUAGCUUUUACAUUCAAAGUUGGUUCCUUUCAUACCUCGGACAAUACCUGAUGUUAGUAUUAAUUUGGUAGCUGAAGUUACGACCUUUUUACUUAAGUGGAACCUUGUUCUUGAAGAAUCUAAAGAGUACUUCCUAUAUGACUUCAUUGGUUACAGAUGGUCGACAUGAUAACUAUGUAAGUGUUGGUGAAGCUUUCCUGGCUGGGAUGGUAGGAGGUGCAGCAGAAACAGUGGUGACUUCUCCAUUUGAGCUAAUCAAAGUCCGAAAGCAAGUGACCGCUGCAUCACGGGCUCCAAAUGCUGCCGCUGUUGCAGAGACCGCACCGGUUUCACCCAUGGUCACAAAAUUGCUAAGAAGAUACACUCUUGAUGUAAAGUCAUUGACACAAACAGUCAGUCUCUUAUCCGUCUUAAAUCAUAAACACCCAAACAUGACAGCUGCUUUGCAAGAGUACCCGUGGAUGAUGACUGGAACAGGAAACCCGCCAUCAGCCAUGGAUGUUAAGAGACCCCUCGAUGUUGCUUCACUUGAAGGAUAUAGAGCUUUAUGGAGGAAUCUACGUUCAGGUCUUGUAAGAGAUUGUCUUUACGGUGGAGUGUUCUUUUCAACAUGGCAAUUUCUUCACGAGGGAAUGCUCAGUUGGAAAGCUGUUGGAAUGAAUCCCCUGCCCAGGUACUUAACUCUCACUCUACAGAGCUCUCAAUUAACUUGAAUUUUAACUUGAACUUUAAUGAUUCUGCAAAACUUGUUGAAUUCAGCUCUGAAGAAGAAAUCGGACCUUUAUCUCCAGUAGCCGUUAGCCUUGCUGCUGGGAUUUCCGGUGCCAUUGCAGCUGCAGCAUCUCAUACCUUUGACACAGCAAGAACACGGGCGCAGUGUGUAAUAUUGCCAAAGGUAAAACAAAAUAUAUCCUCGUUAUCUUACUAAGAGAUAUAUGAAACUCAAAGCUCUGUCCUCAUUUUCUUUUAUGUUUGGUUUCUAUUGAAUUUUGACCAGUAUACAGCAAAAGAGAGGAAGUUUCUGAAAUGGAAUAAACCCGGGAAGAGAUUAGAGAGAUGGACAGGAAUACAUCCUACAGACAGAAACCUCCUGUUCCGAGGAAUUGGGAUAAGGAUAGCACGAAGCUCUGUUGCAUCGACGGCCAUCGUUGGAAGCUAUUACUUAGCUGUCGAUUUAUUGGUUCCCAAGUGAAGUCAGACAUCACAGAGCCUACAAAUCUGGCUCGAGUUUGAUCAAUACCUCAAAAGCGUUUAGCCCGCAUUUUGUAGCACAAUUAAGGAGAAACAUACACGCUUCAAUUAUACCAUCUUAGAUUUGUAUCUGUCUGCAGUGCCGGGCUUAACAGAUUAAACAUUUGCUGAAUCUAUUGACAGAACCUUUUCAAUUGGUCGAUUAUCAAUAGCUCAAAAAAUCUGGACAAACUUUGUAGUUCAUAAUGUGAUCAUUUCCUAACCGAGAUUAUGAACAUGAACUUCAUAGUCUAGCAAUUUUUGGUAAAUACAUUUGCUGAAAUCUUUCUAAUCUACAAUGUAAAGUUCAGCUUAACCAAGGGAGAUACAGACACGAGACAUUGUAUCAUAUUUCUGACAAAGGAACAAUGUAUUGAAUGAUUCAAACCCGUAGUCUCAGUGAAACUGGAACAUUUCUAAGGUUAACAUUUUCAAGCAAUGCAUCAAUUUCAAAUCGAGAACAAGAUCAUUGCAAUGAAUCUCUAGAACCUAAGCAGAUAAUUCAAAUGGAAACAAAUAUGUAAUCAAAACGCAUAAGAGAAACAAAAUCCAUAAUAGAAAAUUCAACAAAACGUCUUACACAAUCCAAAACAGGUUCCACAAUUUUUCACCAAAGUAAAUGAAACCCUAGAAACUAAAAAUUACGCUUUAAAGAUUCAAUAACAAAAAGCUCAAAAACGUCCUUGUCGAAAUACGAAACUUCUCAGAACCUGAGCUUGGUGAAGAACCAUCUGUUCUUGCCGGUCUUGAACCUCUCCUCAAGCUUAGCCUUGGCCUCCUUAAGAGCAGCAACCUUCUUAUCCUUGGACUGAAGGUUAUCAAGAGUGGCCACUUCCUUGAGAUCCACGUCGAGCGUGUAACGCGUAGGCAUCAGAUGCUGGUAGUUAACGACCUUGAUGAAACACUUAACCCUAGAUUUCUUGGCAGUCUUCUUGGCUGAGUCUUUGCGGAUGACUUUGCUCGGGUACUUCUUGAGUCCGGCGACGAGGCAGUGUCCGUAGCCACGGUCACGGGUACCGUCGUCGAAGGAUUUGACGAUGACGGCUUUCUUACCGGCGUAACGGCCUUGAAGAAGGAUCACGGCCUUGUUCUGCUUCAAGAACUUCACCAUUGUUGCUUUCGAUGCUUUAGAUCCCUUCUCCUUUCGUCUCUGGCUGCUAUGAACCCUAAGUGGCGGAAUCAAUGAGAAAUGCGGCUUUAAUAGUGUGUGAUGCCACAAACUCUUUGGUUGAGGAGAGGACUGAGUAAAAACCCUAGUACCUCUUAUUGGGCCGUUUAGUUAGACCCAUUUUUUAUAUUUGGGCUUUAUUUUGUUGAUGAUACCCAGGCUCGGUGAAAUGUGAACUCUGAUGCCAGAAACUCUUUAGACAUGACUAAAUUACCAUUGUUUCAUUAAUCAAUAUUGCUAUUGCAUUUCAAUAUAUGUGGACUAGUAUUAGGUUUUAUGAUCUUAUAGACUUUUCGAUUCAUGUCGUAUAUAUGAAGGAUACUUAGGUCUAUUCGUAUAUAUGAGUAUAAAUUUUAAAAAAGUAUUUUAGUCCAAUAUAGACCUAAAUAUUCUGUUUAGAUCUGAUCGUUUUUGAAGGUUUCUAGCUACACGUUUCAAGACGCUCCAGUCGUCAUCGUCGCAUCUACUCCGAAGUAGUAUAUCAAAAUUUUGAUAAUUAGAUUGGAUAGUACUAAACUUUUUUAAAUGGAUUGAAUGUAGUUUAUUUUUUGAGAAAUUUUAUUUAUCGAAUAUUAGAGACAUUUUCGAUAGAUAGGACAUAAAAUUUAUUUUAUUUUCGUGUUUUUGAUCGAAAUUUAACUUUGAAAUUAUAAACUAUUUUCUAAAAUUACAUAUUAUUUUAACAUAUUUUAUCUCAUUUUUCUAGAUUCUCUUGGGAUCCUAUUAUCAAAGUUACUAACUGUAAUGUUAAUUUUCAAACGUAUCUACUUUUUCUUAUUGGUUUUAUCGUUGUCAACUUUUUUUUGUAUCGCACUAGAUUGGCCUUUCAAUGUAUACAUUAGCGUGUGUUUCUUUCUUUAAUUAUGUUUAAAAUGUGUCAAAGCUUUAUAAUUAAAAAAAAUGGCCAUGCUUGACUUUGUAUCCCCUAUGAUUAUGGAGUGUGAACAUCUCAAUAUUUUUACAAAUACAAUUUUGUAAACUUUGCUUGGCCGGUUACAUCAUGUCAGCGCAAGUAUAUGUGUAGGUGUCAUUUUAUUUUAUAUCAAUAGGUCGUUCUAAUUGUGAAUAAAAUAAUUACAAAUGACCAAAUACAAGAUCAAAUUGAACCGACCGGAUGAAAUCUAUUCACAUGGACCAUAUAACUUGUCUCUCCAUUUAAUUUUUGUUAAUCUCUAUGCAAUUAAUAUUCAUAAGUCAUAACUAACUUAUUUGGUUGAGUUUUAAACAAGUUAAAAAAGCAUAUGAUCUUAUAUAAAGCCAUCAACCAAUUUUUUUAAUUAUAUUAUGAAGGAUCCUUGUUAAUUAUUAUCAUAUAGUAAGUGGAUUUGGUAUCUACAUAAUAUGUGGCUAUAUCAAUCACAUUUUUUCUUUCUUUCAUAGUUAUCCAAAACAGUUACACAAAUAAACAUAUAAGUUAUGAACUUUUUUUGUUAAGUCUAGAAAUGGUUUUAGAUUAACGUAUUGUUUCAAAUAUUUUUCUAUGAUAUUUUGAUGUUUGAUACUUUAAAAUAAAUAUAUUUAUAUAUUAACGUUUCUAAAACGUAUCUAGUUUCAUCAAAAACUCGUUUCUCUUUCGAAACGAAACGUUUCCACAUAUUCGUUUCUGUUUACAUGUAAUGUAUUCGUUUCCGUUUCGGUUUCGGUUUCCAUGCAAUUCUACUAGAAAACAAAUAAAGAUAAAAUAAUGUUAGAAAAAAGCACCAAAAAAGAUUACUUUUUAAUAAUCACUCUCACUAUUCACUAAUCACUAAUUUUAGUAAACAUAAUCCUAUUUAAUUAAUAGAAAAAAGUAAGAAAGAAAAUCAGAAAGUAGAAUAUUUACUUUAUAUUUUUGUCAACAGAAGAGAAUUUUUCCUUGACGACAAAUGAAAAUCUUUUUAAUUUUUUCGAAUAUUAAUUUGAUUAAGAGAUAAAUAAAAGUGGAAAGAAAUGCUUAUUCAGACAGAGAUAGCCAAAAUAAUAAAAAUAAAAAGGAAGUGAGGAUUUGUUCGGGCAAAGGUCAUGUGUCAAUGUUACGCACAGCGCAGGGUAAAGAACAGAGAUAAUAAUAAAAAGGCUCUCUCUUUCUCUUUCUCUCUCUCUUCUUCUCUAAUCUUAAAUCAGAAAAAUCUCUUCUUUAGGAAGUAGAGAACUAGAGAAGGAGAGGUUUCCUCCUUCCAUGUACUCUUCAAUUCCCCGGAGAAUCGGGAGCUAAUCUUCUUCUACUUUCCUUAUCUCUACUUCUUGACAAGUCUUAGCAAACACCCUUUUGGAGAUUCGUUUUGUAUUCUCUGUUUCUUUGUGUGUGUGUCUCUGUGUUUUUAGCUGUCUUCGUAUUGAUCAUGGAGAGAUCUGAUUCUAAAGAUUUCUAUAACUUUGCUCGGACUUCUUCAGGUUUACUUCUCUUUCUUUCUUGGAAGCUCUUUGUCACAAAUCGAGUAUUAAAGUGUUUUGUUUGUUUAAGUUUCUUUCUUUGAUCCAAGAUGUGAAUGAUUUGAUUUGCUUCUGAUUGGAGAAAACUCUACAGAAAUAUUUUUUUUUUAAUAUAUGUUUUUGAUGUAACAGAGGAGAUGAUUUAUAUGUUUUGUCUGAUUUUGAUUUUUUUCUUUCUUGUUACGGUAUACGAUUCGAUUUGUUAGCUGAUCUGGAAAAUAGUAAGAUUUAUAAGCUUUGCUUUAGUGUCGUUCCAAAGCAUUGAGAUUUGUUUACUGAGAUUUAGUUCUACUUUUAGUGGUUUGGUCAACUAAUUGUCUUGGUGACAUAACUUAACUCAUUUGUCUGAUGAAAACGGUUUCUUAUUUUUCUUGUGCAGAUAAUAAGAAUGCUCUUUUUGACGCAUCUCAAUAUGAGUUCUUUGGUCAAAGUCUUGAAGAAGUUGAAUUGGGUGGUCUUGAUGAUGAUGCUUCUGUUCGUGGACAUGUCGAUGAUGAAGCCUAUCACUUGUUUGAUAAAAGAGAGGUAAUUGAUUUUGUUAAUUGAACUGACUGUGUCUUCUUCUAUAUUUAUUAUAUAGAUGAGAUCAAUGGAUGAUAAAACAAACAUCUCUACUUGUGGUUUCAGGGUGCUGGUUUAGGUUCAUUAUCUGACAUGGAUGAUCUUGCCACAACUUUUGCAAAGGUUAGCAUUUUGUUAACAUUUCCAUAGUCUCUCUUUGUGAUUAAUGAUCUGUCUUUCUCAGCUUCUUAUUCUUUUACUUGUUUUCUACUUUACUUAUCUUAUUGUUUUGGUCUUAUCUUGUGCAGCUGAACAGAAAUGUUACUGGGCCCAAACACCUUGGAGUAAUUGGUGACAGAGGAUCAGGGUCCUUUUCUAGGGAAAGUGAGUUUUUUGUUUACUGUUUGCUUUCAAGAGUUUUCUGUAGCUUGGCUUUGUUUUCUUGUUCUUCUAUGUGACUUUUUUCUUCUUCUUGAACUAUGCAACUGAGGGUAAAAACUGUGAGCUUUGUACUUUUCGAUAUAUACAUAUGGGUUGGUUUCAGAAUAUGAUGGUUUUGUUUCAUCUCCUCCUGGAGGUGAUGGCUUUGUUUUGAGAGAUGAUUUUCUUCUAACAGUGCUUUUUGUCUCCAGGCUCCACUGCUACAGAUUGGACACAGGAUAAUGAGUUCACAAGCUGGUUGGACCAGCACACACUUGAAGAACAAGCUCAGGAAGCUAGUUGGCCAUCACAGCCACAAUCUUCGGCUAAUUCAAAUUCUCUGUACAGGACAUCUUCAUACCCUCAGAAGCAAACUCAGCUACAACAUUACAGUAGCGAACCGAUUAUUGUACCAGAAUCGACGUUUACAUCUUUUCCUUCGCCUGGCAAAAGAUCUCAACAGUCUUCACCGAGCCAUAUUCAUCGUGCUCCUUCUCUUCCUGGUGGUAGUCAGUCGAACUUUUCUGCUCCUAAUGCAUCUCCGCUGUCAAAUUCGACUUACCAUCUUUCAGGAUUGUCACAUGGACCGCAACAUUAUGGUAGUAAUCUGGCUAGAUAUGCAUCAUGUGGUCCUACUCUUGGUAACAUGUCACAACCUCCUCACUGGGUUACUGACCCUGGCCUUAUGCACGGUGAUCAUUCGGGGUUGUUACACAGUCUGGUACAACAGCAGCAUUUGCAACAAUUGCCUCCUCGGAAUGGUUUUACUUCUCAACAAUUGAUUUCCUUUCAACAGAGACAGUCCCUAGCUCAUCUUGCUGCAUUACAAUCUCAACUGUAUAGUUCCUAUCCUUCUCCAUCACAUAAAGCUCCUUUUGCGGUUGGUGAAGUAAGGGAACACAAACAUAAGUCAUCUCAUAGAAGUCGAAAGAACAGAGGCAUCUCCCAACAGAACUCGGAUUUGGCUAGCCAGAAAAGUGAAAGCGCAUUGCAAUUUCGAUCAAAGUACAUGACUUCAGAAGAGAUAGAGACUAUUCUCAAGAUGCAGCAUUCCAAUUCACACAGUAGUGACCCCUAUGUGAAUGAUUAUUACCACCAAGCUCGGCUUGCCAAAAAGUCAGGCGGAUCAAGAACAAAGCCUCAGUUGUAUCCUUCUCAUUUGAAGGAUCACCAAUCCCGGUCCCGUAGUAGUUCAGAUCAGCAACCACAAGUUCAUGUGGAUGCUCUUGGAAAGAUUACACUUCCUUAUAUUUGCAGGCCACGAGCCUUACUCGAGGUUGACUCUCCGCCUAGCUCUAGUGAUGGAAGGUCUGGUCAUAAGGGAUCUGAAAAGCAUCUGGAAGAAGAACCUCUUGUUGCAGCUAGGGUCACCAUUGAAGAUGCUUUUGGAGUUCUUAUCGAUAUAGUUGACAUUGAUAGGACUCUCCAAUUCAACCGGCCACAAGAUGGAGGAGCUCAGCUCAAGAGAAAACGGCAGAUACUGCUUGAAGGAUUAGCAACUUCUCUUCAACUUGUUGAUCCCUUCAACAAAACCGGCCAGAAAACAGGAUUGACAGCUAAGGAUGAUAUUGUCUUUCUACGCAUAGCGACACUUCCCAAGGGUCGGAAACUGCUCACAAAGUAUCUACAGCUUCUUGUACCGGGUACUGAGAUAGCUCGGGUUGUCUGUAUGGCUGUAUUCCGCCACCUUAGGUUUCUCUUCGGUGGUCUACCCUCAGAUAGCGUUGCAGCAGAGACAAUAGCUAAUCUUGCUAAAGCAGUUACGGUUUGUGUUCAAGCAAUGGACCUCCGAGCACUAAGUGCUUGUCUUGCAGCUGUUGUUUGUUCAUCAGAACAGCCACCUCUCCGUCCAAUAGGAAGUCCUUCUGGUGAUGGAGCAUCAGUUGUGUUGGUCUCUCUUCUUGAGAGAGCUGCUGAAGUAGUUGUAGUGGGGGUAGUUCCACGUGUCAGCAACAACUCUAAUGAUGGACUCUGGAGAGCCUCGUUUGAUGAAUUCUUCUCUUUACUUACUAAAUAUUGCAGAAGCAAGUAUGAGACAAUCCAUGGUCAGAACCUGGAGAAUACAGCUGAUGUGUUGGAGCUAGCUAUAAAGAGGGAAAUGCCUGCUGAGCUUUUACGUGCGAGUCUACGUCAUACCAAUGAAGACCAGAGGAAUUUCUUACUAAACUUUGGUCGUAGAGCAUCACCACCAGUUAGCGAGGCAACAACAACAACACGUGCAAGUGGUGGUCAGAUCAAGUCUGAAUUUGUGAGGGGUUAAGGUUUAACCAUAAUAGGAAACAAUGAUGAUGGGUGGUGUGAGUGGCUGGUGUAGAUUUGGUGCGUUUUAGUUGUCUGUGGACUUCUUCUUAAGCUCCUCCUUGUGGUGGUUGAAAGCUGGGGAAAAGGAUAAUUGAAAAGUGGGAGUUGGUAAAACCGGAAAAAAAACAAAAAUAACUGAGUUUUUUUCCGGAGGAGCUGUGUUUUUGUUGCUCUGUGAUGAAAACUCCUACCUCUAUUAGGACUCAUUUAGGGUUUUAGGAGUUUGGAAGGAGACUAGUGUUUGUGUUGUGACCCCUGUAUAGACUGAUGGUGAAUGAUGAUGAUGAUGCUGAUGGUGUUAUGGUGAUGGUGAUGGGGAAAUGGUGAAUGGUGCCGUAGCUAAGAGGUCUUUUGUUUGUCUUAGCUUCUUGUUGUGGAUCUGUUUUUCAAAUAUGGGCAUUGUAAUAAUAAGGAACGCAAAGUUUUUAAAAACGUUGUUUCUAUUGGAUCAUGUCUCUUUGAAUGUAUACUUCUGUUAUUUUGUAAGAAGUUGAAAACUUGAAAUUUAGUUAUGUGUUCUUUUUUAGUACUAGAGAGCAUUAGCUUUUCCUAUGAGUCGCUCUCAAACUCAAUAAUGAAUCCGGUUGGGAUUUUGUUAAGUUAUUAUAAGUAAGAAAGCUUCUAAACUCAACGAAGAACUGGAAUGAAUGGUAGUUAUGGGUAGCCCUGGGCACGAAGCGAAUAUUCGGAAAAUUUGUGAUAUUUGUGAUUUGCUUCGCUUCGACCGAAUAGUUGAUUUUGCUAUUUGCUUCGCUUCGUAAAUUUUCGAGUAUUCGGAACUUCGAAUAUUCGAAUAUUUUUCGUAAUAUUUGCGAAUUACUUGCUUCGUUUCGCUUCGACCCAUUUUUUUUUUUUAAACUAAAAACAUAUAGUACACAAAUAUAAAGUGCAAAAUAUGAGAUAUUAGAGGUUCUUGUUUGACAUGUUUUUAAAAUAAGAAGAAAAUGUAACCACCGUCCAUAGAAUUCUCACAUUUUAUUUUUAAUAUUGAUUUUUCUAAUAAAGUUUUAUUUGCUUAAGAACAACAUUUAGCAAAAAAACCAACGGACCAAAAUAUAAUAAUUUGAAUAAUAAGCCUAUAAGAUAUAUACUCAAAUCUAUAAAUACACAUAUUAUAUAUAUAUUAUAAAAUGAUUUAUAUUAAUACAUAUAUAUAAAUAUACGAAGCGAAGCGGAUAUUCGGCACUAAGAAAAUCAAUAUUUGUUAUUUGCUUCGGUUUUUACAAAUACUACAUUUUCAUAUUUGGUUCGGUUCAAUAUCUUAUAGAUAUUUGAAUUUUUCGAAUCGAAUCGAAACGAAUUUCGAAACGAAUCGAAUCUAACGAAUAUUUUGCUCAGGGCUAGUUAUGGGGACAGUGGAGCCAAUGUUAAUCAUUUUGGGACAUGGUGGUGGUAGGAAUUAAGACACGUGAAGCAUGUCUUUUUCAAGUUUGGAAACUGCUCACAUGCCACGUGCACUUUAGCUGUCUCCUUUUUUUUUUUUUUUUGCUUUUAUCUUCUUUUAAUACAAGAAAAAGACAUGACCCAAACCCGAGAGGUAUGAUGAUGAGGUCUUCAUGUUUUGUCUGAUUUUUACUUUUGUUUCCUGACCCAUUUUGUUUUUUACUUGAUGUCUGUUCGUUUAUUUCUUACAUGUACUUGUGCCGUAACGAAUGGGUGGGUUUACAUUGUACUACUACUUUUACUAUUUGACGGCGACGACUACUUUUUACUAUUUGUCUAUUUCUUGUCUAUUGUUACCAUUGACACGUGAAGCAUGUUCUCGAGUCCUCAUUGGUCGAAACUCGAAAAGAAUAGACUAAAUAAUGUUGGGAGGUCUUUCCAAACCCGAUCCCGAAAAUCCGAUCCGAACCGAUCCGGAAAACCAGAUCCAAAACCAAACCCAAAACCUAAAAAUACACGAACAUGUUCUAUACCCCUAAAUCCGAAAAUCCGAAUCCGAAUCCAAACCAAACCGGAACCCGAAUAGAUUAUCUAAAUAUACCCAUAAUAUAAAUAUAUAAUAAUAAUUUAUUAAUAUUAUAUAUAUUUGUAAUAAUCUAGUGUCAAAAUUAUCUAGUUUUAGUAUAUUUUGAUUGUUUUAAAAUUAUAAACUCUUUUUUAAAUAAAUUUAAGUAAAAAUUUAUAUAGGUUUUGAAAUAUUUUAGUAGUUUGGAUACUCAAAUUUUGAAUUUUGAGAAUUUCAGGUAAUCCAAAAACGAACCCAAAAUACUCGAUCCGAACCCGAACCCGAAAUACCCGAUCCGAACCGAAAAUCUAUAAAUACCCGAACGGGUUCUAUAUAUCUAAACACGAAAACUCGAAAAUCCGAAAUACCCGACCCGAACCCGAACGGUUACCCGAACGCCCAUGCCUAGUUGGUAUCUCCUAAGAGCACCUCCAAUGGUAAGCCCAUUGGAGGUUGCUUACAAUUUUUUUACAUUAAAUUUUCAAAAAAGAAUUAAUAAGCAACUGCAUAUUAAUGUUGAAAAUUUUGGUUGUCCAAUGGUAUAACUCUUAAUGAAGUGCUUAAAAACAAAAAUUAAUUUGAUUUGAAUAUUAUUAUAUUUUAAGUAGAUAUAAAUAAAGAUAAAUACAAACAUUAAUUAUAUUUUAUGAAAGAAAACAAGUUAUUGCAUAUCUCUAUCUCUAUAUUAGUAAAAGAGAAGUACAAAAUAGAAACGGGUCGGCUCAAAAUUAUAAAAUUAAUCCGAUUUUAACAAUUGGAUAUUAAAAUGGGUUUGGAUACAUACAUCAGAUACUUUCCAUAUCUAAUUUUAAGAUUAUAUUAUUUCUAUAACUAAUUUUAUGAUUUCCUAAUAUUUCUCUAACUAAUUUAAUAUAAUAUAUUUUAAAAAAUUAUCAUUCUUCGUUAACAUUUAUUUGAUAUUAUUUUUAAUUUAUGAUAUUAUACUAUGUUGCAAUUUGAAAUUUUCAAAACGGAAAUAUAAUACUCAACUACACUCGAUUAAAUAUUUUGGACAAUGAUUUAAAAUCAGUAUGACCAAAUUAACUAAUGCAAUCAGAAAAUUAUGAGGAAAUAAACUUUUUUUUUUAUUUCCCACUCAUCCACUCAUAUUGUGACACAUCACCGGCCCUUAACUAAUGCUUAAAGACUUAAUAUAAGCAUCAAAGCUUAUGUUUUGUGGUUAGUUUGGUAUUAAAUAUAAUGCAUUUAAUAUAAGCAUUCUAUUAAGCAUGGCAUUCCAUUGGAGGUGCUCUAAGUGCUUUUGUAAAAAAUUUGUGGUGAUCAAGUUUAUGAAAAACCAAGUAUUGUUCUUUGUACUAGCUUUAUUAAUUUUAAAAAAAAUAUAUUAAUUUUCUUUAUACAUAUAAAUUUGGACAUAUAGCUAUUUGGUAUUAAAAAUCCAUAGGAAAAAAAAAAUUAUUAUUUAUCUGAUAGUCAAUAAUUCGAAAUUAGUCCACUAUAUUUGCAGAUCCACUAUCUAAGGAUCCAAUGGCAGCCACGAUACUAGUUGGUAUUACUUUAGGCAACAAAAUUUGGAAAAUAAAGAAAUUAUAUAUAUAUAUUGUAUUAAUGUGUCAUAUACUGAUGUACAAGAUUAAACAAAGACUUUUACUCCUACCAAAAAAAAAUAUAUAUGUAAAAGUUUUUUUAAAACUAAUAGUAACUACAGAUCAGAUUGAAGAAAAGAAAAUGUCUAAUAAGAGGUUUAGUAGUAUUUUUUGUUUUAAUAAAAUUAUCUAAAACUACAGUUCGUAAUUGAUGACUACGGUAACUCGUGAUGAAUGGAUGUUUAUCAUAUUUCUUUCGUUCUUAAUUUAAUGGAUGAAUUCUUAAUUUUUUUUCCUUUCUAACAUAGAAGACUUUUUUUUUACAUAUAAAUUUUCAAAAUUAAAGUAUUUUAUUUGUUUUAACAAUCUUUUUUCUUAGUCGCAUCUAAAAUAUUUCUUUAAUUUAUCUUUUUAACUAGUACACAAUUAUAGUCUUUUCAAAAAAUUUGGAAAGACUACAAUGUAAAACUUUGGUACAUUUAAAACACUUAUUUGAUCAGACAAACUUUCGAAUAUAAAGGGAAUUAAAUAUACCGUAUGCACAAACUCGAAUAAAGGGCAAGAGCAAUGUAUUUACGAUGUAGUAGUAGUCGGUACGUAGAUGUCUGUAGUUCUAAUAUUGUUUUCAUAUAUACAUUGUUUAAGGAAGAUCUACCCAUUGUUUAAGGAAGACUUGGACGAAAAACGAAAUAUGAGUACAACUACUUGUGUAUUAUUUUUGUUUUAGUUCGCUGUACGCAAUCAUGCAUGUGUCGACCCAAUUUAAACCACUACCAUUGGUGGUGGUGGUGUUUAAAAUAUAUAGUACGAGGAAAAAAAGAAAGAAAAUAAAAAUGAAUUUAUGAUUUCCAAGGUCUAUAUAAAGAGGCAACCCUAGCAAAGCCAAAAAUAUACAAACUCAAACUCGUUCUUUCUUUUCUUUACUCGAUAAAAAAAAAAAAAAAAAAAAAAAUGCUUUCUGCUGAAUCUGAAACAGUGAUGAGCAGACAAAACCGUUUGGUGCCGUUGCAUGAACAUCCUUUAUCAAUAUUUACGAAAGAAUCUAUAUAUUCUUGCGAUUUAUGUCAAGGUCGAAAUAGCAUCUGUGCCUAUCAAUGCACAGAGUGCGGCUAUCUUCUGCACGAAGAAUGUAUCCGGGGCUUUCUCAACAACCCAUCUCCGUGCGGUCACUCUCUCAAGGUCUCCAUGCCCAACAAAUCACCUCAAUAUGCAAAUGACCGAUGCCAUUUUAGUAAAAGCCAUCUUCAUUCUCCGUUUGCUCGUUGCACGAUUUGCAACAUAAACAUUAGUAUGCUUCGUAUGGGAAAUCAACCACCACCCACUAUUUAUCAACCGAAGCACCACGAGCAUACCCUCACUCUUCUUUUAAGGUUAGUCACUUUUACAUGUAAUGCAUGUGGUGUGGAAGGUGACCGCAAUCCUUAUGUAUGUCUUCAAUGUAAUGUGAUGGUACACAAAGAUUGUAUUGAGGAUCUACCGAGAGUCAUAUGCAUCAAUAGGCAUGACCAUCGCAUCUCUCAUACUUUCCAUCUUGGCCAAGGAGAAGGAGAAUGGGAAUGUGGAGUUUGUCGGAAGAGGAUUGAUUGGGUAUACGGAGCUUUUAAAUGCUCUCGUUGUCCUAGCUACGCCGUUCAUUCAAGAUGUGCGACUAGAAAGGAAGUGUGGGAUUUUAUCGAACUUGAAGGUGUGCCCGAGGAAGAAGAAGAAGUCGAAGAACCAUACAGGGUAAUCAACGAGAAAGAGAUCGUUCAUUUUAGUCAUGAAGAACAUGUUCUCAGAUUGGAUGAGAAUAAUGUUAACUUGCGCUGCCAAGGUUGCGUUCUUCCCAUCAACGGAGAUCCAUGCUACAAAUGCGUGGAAUGUGAUUUCGGCCUUCACAAAGCGUGUGCUAGUCUUCCUCGGAAGAAGCGACGUUUAUUGCACAACCACAAACUUGUUUUACAAGUUGAUGACUCUUCAGGGUUUUGGUGUAAAGCUUGUAGAACAAUUUCUAAUGGUUUUAGGUACAAGUGUGUUGACGACUGUGACGAUGAUGUUGUGUAUGAUGUUCGUUGUAGUUCGGCAUCGGAACCAUUUCAGCAUGAUCUGCAUCCACAUCCCUUAUACUGGACACUGGAACGUUCCAAACGAUGUCAAGCUUGUAACGUGGAAACCAAAGAUAAUAUCUUAAGCUGCACGGUAUGUGAUGAUUACGCAUUAUGCAUGGGGUGCGCUACUCUACCAAGAAAAGUAAAACACAGGUGUGAUGAUCAUUUCCUGUCGUUAUGUCAAGGUGUCGGAAACGCAAGCGGUGGUAACUUGUGGUGUGAUAUCUGUGAGACCAAGACAGAUCCAAAUGUGUGUUACUAUACCUGUGAAGCAUGUGGUCUCAGUCUCCAUCUUAAAUGUGUUCUUGGAGAUUUUUAUUAUAUGAAGGUGGGAGGCACAGAACCCAAUCCUGUAAUAUUUGCCAACAAUGGAGUUACUCGACCAUUUUGCAUCGCUUGUGAGGCUCGUUGCAAGUUUCCCGUCAUCCUGUGGGCAGCUAUAAGUGACCUUUCUGCUGGCUACAUUUGUUCGAGUGACUGUGCAUAUAGGCUAGAGGAUAAAUAUUAGGUUAGCGUUUUUAACUUUCUAGAUGCUGCAAGAAACUAUAUAUUUGGUAAUCUCGAAUAAAAUCUAUAUUAUAAUAUAGAAAUAUUUUCCAUUUUAUUAUUGGGAAAAAUGUCAAUUAAACCAUGAACUUGUUGGUCAACGCCAUUUAAACCUUGAACUUUGUCUAAGACCAUUUAAAUCGUGUAGUUUAGUUUGACUAUCAUUUUAAACAUCACAUUUUAUUUCAGUGGGCUGGAAGGCUUUAAGAAGAUUUAGCAGCAGUAAUUUGUCUGUUUCAAACUCCGGGUGGGUCAACAUCUGUAGACCACAAAAGUUUGGGAAUGAAAUUAGCAUAUUUGUAUUAAAAAGGAACUAAAUCCAACCAAUGUACAACUAGUAACGUUAGGAAGUAGGAAAUGUGGUAACCACAUGCAUCACAAAAUUGGCAUCAGGAUAAGGUCAGGAUAAGAUAAUAAAUUACCUUACUGAAACAGUAUAAAACUUCAGAAACCACAAUAUUGGAUGUGUUCGGGUUUCCAGCCAUAGCAAACUCAUCUCUCCAACUAGUUUGAGAAGUUUGAUCACCUAUUAUUAUUUAGGUCAGAUUAGAACACGCUAAAUCGAUAUCUUUAUCUCUCAGCAGGUUGAUCAUCUCCAGUUACCUUAUCUGGAUGACUAACCUGCCAAUAUAAAACCAGACAACUAAGAGUGAGCUGCCAUCCCCUAAAAGAGGGAGUGAGGUGUGAUCACCUAAGAAACUAAAUAGAAAGAGAGAUAUUUCAUACUACCUGCUUCCUUACUAUCAUCAUAAGUUCAUUUGAAACUGAAGAUCGAAAAGAAUCAGCACUUGCACGAGCUGAUAGUGCAAGGAGGCUGAAAACCUCAUAGACCUGCAAUUAUGUCUACUUUAUAAGUUUUUAUACAAUACAUUGUCAUUCCAAGCAUAUUGUAAAGAUAUAUACCCACCUUAUGCAAAUUUUCAAUACUAAAACCCUCUAAGUAGUCCAAAAUACCUAUACAACACAAAACAACAAAAAUAAUAGAUAACAGAAAUGUAAAAGAUCAGCACUAGUGAGUAUAUACUUAUAAGUUCCAGAGAAACCGUUGUAUGUGGGAAGAAAAGGGAAGGAGUUGCUGUGCAUAUUUUUUCACCAGAGCUGUCAUCAUCUCCAAGACAGAACUGACCUCAAAUUUGUUAUCAGAUCCCACAUGUGUCACUAGGGCACCUAGAAUCUGCAACCAAAUCAAAUUAGAACAAAAAUGAACUAAUUAUGCUAAAAACUCGAGUGGAAAAUUUUACUGACCUACGAAGAUUACUUGGAAAUUGAAUGUACGAUGAGAACCCAGCUAUGAAAAUAGAGCGAAGGGCAGCGAGGUUAUCUCUCUCACCGGAGUUAGCGGAGCAAGACGAAAAGCGACUAGUGAGAUUGCGGCGGAAAGCGUGUAGAUCGGAAGGAAGACACGGCGGACCGUACGGGUUCAUCAGUGUGCAUCCGACUUCCGCUAGAAUCGCAGUCAUCUUCUCCACCGCGUCGGGUUCAACGGAUUCCUUUUGCGACUGGGGGUUUUUGAGAGACGGAGCAGCUGAGGAUGAUGACGGAGGCGGAGGCGGUGGAGGUUUUUUCCGUGAGAGGAACACCAUUUUUUCCGGUGACAACGACGGAGACUACUCUCAAUUUCGCCUAUUGAUUCUCCGAUUAACAAAUUUUCUGAAGAAAUUUAGAAAGACGAGAGAUUUCAAAAAUUGGUAACCCUGAAGAAGCUAGCGCCAAAAAAUUCAGCAAAGAGGCUCCCGUCCCCUUCUCACAUUUACACGACACGCAAUCUGUCAACGCAAAAGCAAGACGGCACGACGUGUAACCAAAAUAAACGUAAAAGCAAAAACUGCACGGUGUGUAACCAAAAUACCCGUAGUAUAUUUAGAACUUUGAAACGAUCUGCCGUUUAAAUUAAUUACACAUAAACUACUCGCAAUGCAUCGAUACCAAAGAAAAGGACUUCUAUGUGUAUACAAGAGUACAAUGGUACACAGAAGACUGGAAGGAACAAGCUACUGCAAUUUGCAAACUUGUUAAGACAAGUCUCGUGAUCACAUUUAAACCCUGCAAGUCUUGGCAAGAGGCUCGCAGUCUUUAUAGACCUCCAAGCCAGACUGAUCAAGUUCGUCUUCCUUAAAACAAGCACAACGUUUGCUCAUUGACCCCGUUAUUGCUAUCUCUAAAGGUCUUUGUACCAAUCUCGGCACCCCAACAUCACACCAAACCUGCAUAAAUAGGUUAUGCUUUAGUAUCCUUAUGCUUUUAAUUCCAUCAUAGAUUCACUUUUACGUUCUUAAUCUAAUUCUCCACUUUAAACCAAACUAAGGGAGAUAACAAGAAUUCAUACCUCUCCACCUUCAUCUUGACUCCAUCGUGAGUCGCAACUCGGUUGCUUGGCUUCCUCCGUCUUUUGUUUCUCCAUAAGUUGUGCACCUCUAGAGGCUUUUGCUUCAGCUCCUUUUAGAUGUUUAGUUGGAUUACCUUGGCUAUCGUAGUACCGCCCAACAAGCUUCCCAACAGGACUGUUGAUCACAAAUUAUAAGCUAAAAGCCAAACCAAUAUGAAUUAUUAUAUAGGGUUUAAGAUGAGCCGAGCAUUAUCCUUCUCAGUUCUUAGUACGCAUCAGCUUUCUAUCGUGUGAAUAAAACCUAUAACUUACAUGUAGGUCCUGGAGUAGAAACCCCGCCAGUCAACAAUGCUCUUCACCUGCGGAUGUCAAACCAUUUCAAACAUUUAACUAAGGAUAAUCUGAUUUAUAAGAUAUCAAACAGUUAACAAACUACAUGUUACUUCAAUAUAUUAGAAAGUGAUAAAUACCAAGAAAUAAGCACAUCUGGGAUAAUGGCAAGAUCAAGACUAUUUUAGACAUUCCAUAAUUUUCGUUGAAAAACUAUGUGGAGCUUAAAAAAGCUUUACCUCACUGCUAGAUAACCCCUGUAACGAAUCUGUAAGUCCAUCUCCUGCACAAGAAAGGAAUCAUAGCACAAAAAUGAGAAAUUUAAACAUUUCAAAGAUUACUGAAAACUCUUCAUCACUCACUGAAGAAUGCAGCAAACCAUUUAUACCUGUAAAGUUCCCAGAAACAAAAGCACGCGAAGCGUCUCUGAGAGCAAGAAUUACAUGAAAAUACACACAACAUCAGCGAGGAACAUACAAGAUUAACACAAAUAUAUACAAGAACAUAUGAGAGAAUCUUUACACGUAACAUUGAUCAAACAGAACAAACCUUCCAGCAAAAUGGUUGUAACCUCCUCCACUACCGUAAUGAGAUUUUCCUUUCGUCACAUCAAACACAGAUCUGUGUAACAUAUGUAAAGAUACUCUUUUAACAAAAAGUUGUUUCUUCACAUAUGUGUUUCGACAGCAGUAGGGAAAAAAGAGCUUACCCAAGAAUCCCUAAGAGUAUAGGUAACGUUUCAUCAGUGCCAUUAUACAAUGCCAACUCUUCAGCAGAGAAUAACCUCUAUUGAUAUUGAGAACAUCAAGAAACAAAAAAAAAAAAAGAAAACACAAACAAACCAUCAAAUUCAAGACAGGACAACAUAAUAACACUGGUUUUCUAGUUUAGACCCAUACAUAACAACCAUACAGACAAGGACCUUGUCUGAUUCUAUCUAAAAUGAGAGUUUUUGAUCCCCAGCUAAUUUCGUCUGUAUUUGGAUAUUUCAGAACGGGGAAGAUAAGCUUUAAAGAAGAGAAGUGAGUACUUGGUUUGGGUGAAGUGGAGACUUAAGGGAAGAUCUGAAGUAGAGAGCGACGAGAACAACAAUCACCGUGACGCCAACAAAGGGAGAUAACAGAAACCUCCUCGCCGGAAUCAUCGAUUGGAUCCGAUUUGGUUUGUAAUCGAAGAUUCCAAAAUCAAGUGAACUUUCUACACCACUUUUAUAAUGUGAGGACCUUUUAUCUAAAUAAAAAAACCUAUCGGACAAAAUUGCAAUAUUUUGAAUAUUUAGGUCGAAAUAUCAAAACUCUUUUGGAGAAUGGACAGAAGAAAUACAUGAUUCGUAAGAGGACUCAUUUACUCACUGAAGGGGAUUCAUACAAAGAGCCACUCUUUUACAUUUAUAACAUUAUGUAUCGAAGUGCAAUUAGCGAACUUACAAAAGGUGAAGAAGAAAUCAUUAACACGCAAUAAGCAAUAAGGUAGUAUGAGAACGCCAUUAAUGUAUAAUGUGAUCUUAUAUGAUAGUUUCAUUCUUUUGGUAAUCCAAAAAUGUUACUCAGUGCUAUACAAGUAUGAGAGGCAAAGCCGGCCAGAAAUAAACGCAAUCCAAGCACUUGUUUGUAGCUAAUUUCGGCCGAUUUAUUACCGUAAGUUUUAAAUUGGUUGUACACCAAUAUAUACUACAACUAAAUCUUACGGUAAUAAAUGUGAAUUUGAAUUUUCCGAAAUGAACAAAAUGUGAAUUUACGAUGUAUAUCGAGAAUUACACUUUUUGAAAAGGAAGUAGUGAAUUACACUUUUUUACCAGUUUUAUUACCGUUUUUCUUUCAUUUCACUAUGUAAGAGAUCUAUCAAUUGUUAUUGUUUCUAGUCCAUAAAAUCUUAGGUUUGGCUCUAAUAAGAAAUAUAGUACAUGAUUUGUGGCAUGAUUUGGGCAAGAAAUUACAUAUUUUUUUAAUCGUCAAUAAUGUAUGGUUAAAACUUUCCUAAGAAAAACAAAGUUGUUUUGUUUGAGCAUAUCUAAGAAAAAUCAAGAAUCACAAUAGUUGUUAUGUUGGUUGGAUCUCGAUCCAUAUACUCAACUUAAAGAAAAGCCCAUCAGACUGUAAACCUCUCAUGAUCCGAGUGGACAAGCAUCUUGCUUCAGCUCGGAUAUAUGGUGUUAUCUAUUAGUUCAAAAGACAACCAUACGUUUCACUUCGGAGAAACAUAUGUUCUUCCAAGGAAUAAUCCAAAUGUCCAUCUCUGAAUUCUCGCCCAUCGAAAUAGGCGUUACGAACACAGAUUCCAAAGCAAAACGUAAAAUCUAUAGUAAAAGCAAAAGUAAUGAAUUCAUCAUUAAUGAGAAAGCGUUACCAUUCACAAUAAAAAAAAUAUUAAAACAACGAAGAAAACUAUGAGAAAAAGAUCGAUUUUUCUUAUGUAAAAGCAAUAUCAUACACAAACAACGUACCUUUUUCUCAUAUUGAUUUGAGUUAAACUUAAUUUUUAAUUCACAUUUUCUUCGUGUAUUUUCAUUCGAUUUUGACUUUUCACAUAAAAAUAUUACCUAUUAUACAGACAUUAUAACUAACGUUAUGAUAUUGCUGUUCUAAAUACACGCAUAAUUAAAAUAACAAAUUCAUAAUCAGCUAUAUUUAUUAAGUUUCUACAAUAAAAAUGUUUAAAUUUUGACAUAUCUUUUUCAUUACUAGCAUUUUCUAGUAAUUUUUUUAUAAAAUGAUAAAAACUUGUUUUUCACUAAAAAAAUUAUAAGUAGAUAAUUAAUGUGUCUAUAUCAAAUUUGGGGUUAAUGUGAUUCCCAUAUAUUGUGAGUUAUUGUAGAUUCAUUGAGAAAAUAUAUCAGAUGUUUCUAGAAUGGUGCAUGUAAAAUCGUUCAUUGUGAAUUCUACUUGUCAAAGUGAGAGUUGUCCAUCCUAAGCAUAGUGCAAGAAAAAUCAUAUAAGGAAGAUCUUUGUAAUGAAAAUAUUAAUUGUUCGUUGUAUAAUUUAUACAAUAAUAAAUUGAAAGAGGUAGAGAAGAUAGAAGUAAAUUAAAUUAUCCUCAAAUAGUAAUAUUCUAACAUAAAUUAUCAUGGAUUUAGUUUAUUUAUGAAGAGAAUAAUUAAAAUACAUUUAUAUUAGUAAAAAACAUUAAUUAAGAAAUUUUAUCCCAAAUUUUAUGGUUAAUUUUUUUUUUAAUUUGCAUAUGAAAGAUUCAUGAUGAAAAAAUAAUUUAAAUGUGAAAAUCUGCCAAGUGAAAGAGUAUAUAUAUAGCCUUAUUGAAAAUAGAUUAAUGUGGAGACAUCAAUAAAAAUAUAGAAAAUUUCCUAUAAAGAAAUAUAUCAAUAUAUAUCAGUGCCAGUGGUGUCGAAUUAUAUAUACAAAAAAGACAAGAAAUAUGGGUUAGUUUAUCUGAGAAAUCUCUUUUGAUGAAAAUUUAAUAAUUAAAUAUUUAGAGGGACUAGAUUUCGCCACGCUGGAACUUCCACUAAUGAUGUCCGUUGGAUCUUUAAGAGCAACGGUGAGGAUUGCUAAAAGGUUUUUAAGAGCAGAAGAUAUGAGCCGUUGAUCUUUUUGGUUAGUGCUUUUUAUACAAAAUAUAUAUUGGAAGAUAAUGGGAAGCAAGUCGAGAGAUAGAGAGAUGGAGAAAAAUAGAGAAGCUCGAAGAGUGCCCAUGGCGGCCGCCGGAAAUGGCUUCUCUAGACGGAGACAUAGAGCCGGAAGUUUCAGAGACUCUCCAGGUUUCUUUUUAUUUUCUCUUCUUCUAUCUUUUUCGAUUUCUUCAGAUCUGAGGAGAAAUUAUUUUUGAUUUCUGAUUUUGUGUUUUUUUUGUCACAGAGGAGGAUGUUCCGGUGGAGUAUACGGAGACGGCGAGGUUAAGAGAUCGAGGAACGAGUUCGAAGAAGGAUCGAGAUCGAGAACGAGAAAGGGAGAGGGAGAGUCAGAGAGAUCGGUUAAAUAGCCGGAGUAAAAGGAGAAGAGGAGAACGAUUGGUGAUGAUGCAAGGUAAUAUAGACGACGGCGGCGGAGAAGACGAAGACGACGAUACCUCCGAGGAGAGUGUAAACGAUGAUGAAGAAUACGACGACGGCGGUGGAGCGACGAAGAUGCUUCCACCAAAUAAUCACCAUCAGAGGAAGAGUUUUCCUCAGAGUAAAGUCUUCAGAUCGUCUCCUUCUCCGACGCCUUCAUCUCCUAUUGUAACUUCAUGGAAAGCCGCCGACGAAAUGAUCGGUGUGUCGGUUCCUAGAAAAGCCCGGUCAGGUAGAGAGGUGGAAAAAUUGCAUUAUCCACUUAAUUUUUUUAUUUUUGUUUUUAUCAUAUCUCUGUUUGUUUGAAGCUCUCUUCUAAUUGUGUGUUUUUUUUUUUUGCAGCUUGUACUAAGAGGUCGCAUGAGUCUUGGACUAGCGGCGGAGGAGUUUUCGCUUCCGGUGAGAAAAUUCACCGGCAAAUAUCAAGUCCGGCUUCUAUGUUAGCUUCUCCGUCUCCACCAGCUCCUCUGUCUCCAUCUUCCUCUAACGUUUUAGUCCGGAAGAAGAUGGUCAGUCUCUCUCAAAUUUCACUCUCUUCCUCUUUGGCUUAUUUGCUCUAAUUUUUUUUUUUUUUUUAAGACUCCUGGACCAAAACCGAAGCCGCUUCCACCAAAAUCUCCGGUGGCGGUGCAAGACGAAAUCGAGAUCGAGAUCGCGGAGGUUUUAUACGGAAUGAUGAGACAACCACAAGGACCAGCUAAACAAGAAACCGCCGGGAAUGAUUCCGGUGAGAACAGUAAACCAACGGGGGAAGUGAAGUCGACGUCAUCUCCGCCGAUCUUCAACUCGCAGGUUGCUACUCCAUUAUCAGCAAAUUCGAAUAUCGGUAAGUCAUCUCAAGUUCUCUCCGAUUCACGACGAUCUCUCAGGUCUGUGACCUUCGUGCUCAUUUUUUUUUUUUUAAUUUGGUUUCAGCUCCUAAGAGGAAGAGGCCGCGACUAGUUAAAUACGACGAGGAUACUAAUUACAAAACCAAAAAGUCUGAAGACGAAGUCCCUUUAAGAUCCACCGGAGAGACGAAAAAAUUACAACCAUCGACGUCGUUAGAUUUGAGCUCCGCGGCGGAGAAGAAAGAAAAUGGUAUCUCAAAAGAAGAAAAAGUAUCACCGGAAAUGGAAUCUUCGUCUGGGAUAAGAUCCGAUGGCGAUGUGACAAUCACGUUAAGAGUUAACCCGUAAGAAUCUUCCCCCCUCCUUUUUUAUCUCUUCAUUUAUCUCUGUAAACCUAAUUCUGAUUCUGAUCUCUUCUUCCUUUUUUUUUUUUUAAAAUUCAUAUAGGAGUUUGCCUACAUCGGAAAUGGAGAAGAUAGAGUUAAAUCUGAUGGUGCGUGUCAAAAUUCGUUUUUUUUAUUGGAAAUAUAAAUUAUUAUUAUUUUUUUAAAAAUAUUAAUUAUUUAUAAUUCUGAUUUUGUCACCUCUGAAGGCGCCACCGCAGAGGAGAGAGUCGUCACCGGCGAGAGAUGGUGAUACUGAAUGUGUGGUGGUGACAGAAGCUAAACCUAAAGUCACAAUUAUGGAAUCGGUGAGUGGGGUCUGUUUUAAAAAAAAUAUAAUUUUGGUAAUGCGACAAUGGAAGAUAUCCAUUAAUGAUUGACCUUUUCUCCCCUUUUUUAUAUAUUGUGUUUGAUAUUUUUUUUUAAAGGAAACAAAGCCUCUCCUAGAUUUUGGCUGCAAGGAAGAUCUGACUUUGAAUUCUCAAGAUAGAAAUCCCAGAUCUCAAGCAGGAGGAGAUGAAUUUCACAAAUCAGAGAGAAACUGUCAACUUAAACUCGAUCUUUCUGACCCAGAGAACAAACACCAUGGUCAGAAGCAGCUAUCUAGUUCCGAUAGAGCAGGUUAAGUUUUUUUUUUUUUUUUUCUUCAACCAAGAGUUGUUGUUACUGUGCUAUUACUUUCAGCAUUUUAUUAAAUUGGAUCUCUUCUUUCUACAGCUCAAGCUAAUAAUUUGUCUCUGCAAAUGUCAAUACCAAGCUGGCCUGGAGGGAUUCCUACAAUGGGGUAUGCUUGGCUAAUUUUAGCAAUAAAUUAGUAACCUUUUUCUUUUUGCUACUUUGUAUUGUUCCCUUGAUUUAAUGAAAUGUUUUUUUUUUUUUUUAUAACUAUGAUCAGAUACUUGGGGGGACCUACUCAUGGUGUUAUGCCGACAGAUGCCAACUCUUUAUUACCAUCCUCGACAAUGCAGGUGAUUGUGAUUUCUUUCAUUGCUAUGUUCACUUGAAGUUUUUACCUUUGUUCUAUUUCUGACUCUGUUUUUGUGCAGCCUCCGCAUAUGUUAUUUAACCAACCGAGGCCAAAGAGAUGUGCAACUCACUGUUAUAUCGCUCGGAAUAUCCAUUAUCACCAGCAAUUCACCAAAUUGAAUCCCUUCUGGCCUCCAACAGCAGGAUCACUACCUUUGUACGGGUCAAAGGCCUGCAAUCUUAGUCUCAUGCCUUCUGGAGAGCUACAAGGGAGUGUUCUGAGCAGAAGUUCAAACACUGUACCCGAGAAGAGCUCUCUUUCUGCACCUAACAGCUCAGAUACAGCUCAAAGGAAGCAAAUAUUGCUCCAGCAAGCUCUGCCUGCAGGAGCCAGUAACAACAUCAUGGUAUAUUUAUUGUGUUUUAUUUUUCAUUCCAGGUAUCUUUCUCAUGGUGUAUUGAUUGGUUUUGUUUCAUUUACAGCACGGCCCGACAUUUAUAUUCCCACUGAGCCAGCAGCCUCAUGCAGCAGCUGCAAUAGCUGCCGCUUCUGGAAGGCCUCCUAACGCCGGCAACGCAGUUGUUUCAUCUGGUGCAGUGGCUGCUUCCGCGUCCAUGAAUGGUUCUCCAUCAACAGCUCCAGUUGGUGCUACAGCAAUGAGCUUCAGCUACCCAAAUAUACCGACCAAUGAAACUCAGUAUCUGGCUAUCUUGCAGAAUAAUGGGUAUCCAUUUCCAGUCCCAGCGCAUGUUGGCACACCUGCUUAUAGAGGAGUUACCGGGCAGCCUAUGCCAUUCUUUAAUGGUUCGUUCUAUUCUUCUCAAGUGGUCCACACUCCACUUCAUCAGCCACAACAGCAAUCUGGUCAAGGGCAACAGACCCAUGCUCCCAACAACCAGAACACAAAUGUUUCCCCUGGUUCCUCGGCUGCACAAAAGCUUCUCCAGAACCAACAACGAAGGCCACCAGUAAAUUCACAAGGAUUUCCUACCCAGAAAGUUCACAGGCAGCAUCCCAGAGAUAACACAACUCAACAUAGUGAACCUGCAGGAGAAGCGAACCCAUCCACUACUGAUAGUCGAGCCUCGCGUUCCAGUGUUGCAUAUGCCCAAAACUUUGCUUUGCCGGUGCAGCCAACUAACAUGGGUUUGAUGGGUACUGCAGCCUCAGGUGUCGGAGUUCUCGGUUCCUCUAACAAUCAUAGUGAAAGGAAACCAGAACAGCAGGUAUCAAAGGUGGGUGUGGAAUCUAUUCAGCCUCAGCCUUACGCAAUGACCUUUGCAGCGUUCAACGGAGGUAUGCCAACUAUGGCUCAAAAUCAUGCUAUACUCCAUGGCGUUCCAGAAACAGCAAGGCAAGAGUAUCAUCAAAUGAUGGCAGCUGCUGCUAAACAUAAAAUGAAUACGGAAGAUGGAAAAUCUGGGUCUAAUGCUUCUGCUAAUGCCACAGAGGAAUGGAAGACAACAGGGGCAAAUGGUAAAUCAACAACUGCAGGUGUUGGGAAGUCUAUUGCUUUCUCUGGCAAACAAGAUCCGGCUGAUGCAUCUGCUUCUGCGGUAACAGGUGCGGGUAUUAUUGAUAGCUCAGCUCGGUUGCUCAACCUUGGCUCUGCUCAGCCUUGGAGUUCCAAUCCUGCACCGACCUCUCACCAGCAGCAACACAUGCAGAGGAAUCAACCUCAGCAGCAGCAAUAUAGCAAUUAUCUCCAGAUGCAACAACAGUACGCAGUUGCUGCUGCUAGAGGCAAAGGGCCAGUGAUGAGUAACGGGAGUGGUUUCCCCGAUCAUUAUAUUGCCACCGCGCCUUCAAUGGGAUCCAAUAACCCUCAUGCUAGUUCAGGAUUUCCUCAGAAUCUUGUCCAGUCCGGUGGUAGUGGCAGUCCGGCUCAGUCUCCUCAGUGGAAGAACAAUUCACCCAGAGCAAACUCCAUGACCCAAGCUCAGCCUCCUUCCAUGAUGUCACCAUCUGCUUCAUCAUCACUUAAAAACAUACAGCAGAAACAGCAAGGUCGACCUCACCAGUCACAUAUAUCUUUUGCAGCAAACUCUAAAUUUCCGCCUUCUUAUUCACCAACGCAGCAAGGAGUGGGUAGUGCUAACCAGGUUCCAUCACCCACUACGUCUUCUAUCUCCAAAAACGCCGGAGCAAUCCCAAGAACAAUCGCCCCAUCCUCAACAGCGAACAAAACUGGACAUGGUCAAGCUUCCUCCUCUUCUCUGUCUUCAUCUCAGCCAUCAAAGAACUCACAGUCGGCAUUAUCUACAGGUGGAAGGAACAAUGGUCAAUCUAUUCUCGGAAAUCCUCAUGUUACUGCCACCACCUCAAACCCUACAUCUAAGUCUCAACAACAACAACACCUGCAACAAGCUCAGCUUUACUUCUCAAGCCCAUAUAUGCAAGCUCAACAUCAUCAGCAGCAGCAACAACAUUUGAAUCUCUCUAGCUAUUACGUCCAAAGACAUCAGCAGCAGCAGCAACAACAAGCAGGAUCAUCAGCUGCUGCAACAUCUGCUACUCUCUCCAGCUGCACCACUGUCACUUCAGAUUCAGCGAAAGCCAUUAAUACAAAAGGUGGAGGGAACAACAACAACUUGCAGAAUACACAGACUGUAGAGAAGACGCAUCAUCAUCAGCAGCAGCUAGGUCCUCCAGGAUUUCCAUACGUCCACCCUGGUCAAGUGAAACCUGGAGAUCAGAAGCAACAAGCGGGUGAGUGAAAAUGAAAACCCAUUCGAUGGUUGCUUUGGGAGUUCUUCUCACGCUUGUUGAUUCCUCUGAAGCAAUGCUCUGAGGAACGGUAGAAUUUGGACAGUGUGAGAGGUCCUAAGAAACUGGCGGAUCAGAAGAGGAAAGAAACACUCCCACACUCACUAACCAGUGAGAGACCAUUACAGGGAUGGUCUUGGUGGUUUUAAGAACUGUCUCCAACUAAGUUAGUGUUAUAUUCUGACAACAAUCGUCAAACUAGUAGAGGGAAUAGAUCAUUCAAGGUUAAAUUAGCUUUAAGAAUUUUAUUCAUUUCUUAUUGGGAGUAGGGUUGUUUAUGAUUGAAUUAAAAGAAAGGGUAGCCUAAAGGAAAAUGCGGAAGGUGUUGCUCUUUGGUAUGUAGCUUUAGACUUUGAUUCUAUCGAGUAGAAAAAGAAAAAGGAACCAAUUUUGUGUCAAGAAAGAUGAUGGAGAAGUAAAAAUGCAUGUGUGUAUCUGUUGUAUGUACAUGUGGUUUGGCUAGGAAGUAAAUAUAUAUAUAGGGAUGUAUUUAUAUGUUUUUGGCUGAUCGUGAAACUCAAAAAAAAAAAGAAUGCUUAUUUUGUGCUUUUGUCAAUGACACAAGUGGUGUGAUUCUUCUUUUAUACCUUCACGUGUGGUUCACUGUGCAGUACGUACGACUGUACACAAAACUAAAGAUUCCCCAAAAAGAAAUAGAGAAAAAAGGAUCUCUCCUGUUCUUAUUUUUUUGGUCAGUUAGAGAAUAAAAAAAAUAGAUUAAGUAGUAACCAAGAAAACGACUACUUAUCUAAUACAUAUAGAUUUAGUGAAGACAUCAUUAAAGAAGCGUUCAGAAGACCCAAGGCUUGACCAUCUUCUAGCCAUCGAGUGUCCCAAUAGAGGAGCUUUUCUCAUUGUGCCAUCAGUGACCUCGGAUCACAUAUAUACCCCUCUUGGCUUCAUGGUGUUGUUUGUACCAAUGAGAAAGUUUCUUCUUACACGAAAGGUUGUUCUUGUUUGCUUGUUGUCCUCCUCUUACGCGCACAAACUUGCCAAAUUUACCAACAAGCUUUGUUAUGUUUUGGUGGCACAUGCAAAUUCUCAUUUUCUCUUCUUUUUCCUUUUAUAAGGUAUUGAUUUUACAAAAAUAUAUAUAUUGGAAAUAUUAUAUGUUUGGGUUAAACCUUUCUUAUAUUUUGAUAAAUUAAUUGAGUAAAUAAGAACAUCUGGUCUUAUUAUACACAUUUUUGUCGACCAUUUUUGAUUGGUCUAAUUUUGAUACCAUGUUUUCUAAAAGAUCGACCGCUAUGGGACCAAGCAUGUACGGAGUUCCUUUUCUUUACUGUUUUUAUUCGCCAAAAUAAAUUAUGGAUUAGUGAAAAUAUUUUUAUUAUACCUUUUGUUCAAAAAAAUUAAUUAGACGUCUCUAACAAAUUUUUUUUUAAAAACAGCUUAAAUUAUAGUGUUUUGUUUAGUUCAAACAAUUAUGUUAAGGUGCAUAAUGCUAUUUUCUUUUUCCUUUGUAAGGUAAUAAUAUUUUGGGAAAUAGUUGAAAUACCCCAAAACUCUGAACUAAAAGGAACUUUGGUGUCUGGAGAACAACAUUUGUAUUAUGCAAAGUGUGAACAAGAAGGUAAAAUAGGAACAGCCAAAAUGUUUUGGAUCAGUAGAGAGAGUGUAAUGUAAUGACUCAUUGGAUGAUGAGUGGGAGUACUAGUACUAAUAGUAGUAGGGACCAAUCCUUUUUUGGCAAUGUGACAACUUCAAAUCGCAAUUAUAGUUUAGUGACAUUUUGGGACAUUACUGUGCCGACACGUUUAACGUCCAUAUAUACUAAUCUAGAGUCCACUGCACUACUUCAAGUUUGUAUCCAAUCAAAAACUGAUUUGCUGUUUUUCACUAAACGCCUUUGGAUUACUUGCUAAUAUGUUAUUUUCCAUUAGCUUUGUUUGUCUCUUCUAAAGAUUCUCUAGUCUUAAAAGUUCAUACCAAGUUACCAACCCGACCCAAACGGCACUCUUAGAAUAACAUUAUUGAUAGUAUCUUAGCAAAAUUUUAGGCUAAGAUAUAUGAAGAUAUAAGAUCUUAUUCGCUACGGCAACGCAAAGAAGAGCCACCACAUACAACUUUUAAAAAAGUUUGGAGGACCCAAAUGAAUACAACCAAAAGAUAUGGGGCUUACUUUUGGGGUAAGAAACAAUUUUAAGGGUCCAAUUGAUAAUGCAAAAAGAAGCCGCAGGUGGUGGUCUACUAUGAAAACUCCAUGGCCCCAAACUUAUGAAACCUUCCCCCACUAAUAAUUAAUAAAUCUACAAAAUCUCUAACUUUUUUUUUCCUUUCUUUUGAGCUAAAUCUAUAGCCCCCCGACAACAUAUAAUGUCAAUAGCAAAGUCUACAGUAUUGUAUUAAAAAUAUAAGAUUUGGCUAUUUCCCAUUCAUGCCACUUCAAAAUAAAGUAUUUAGAAACUGAUCAUGCUUGUUACAUACGUUUGUUUUGAUACAUAGUGGCAUAGGCCAAUAAAUGGGUAAACCUUAGAAGAAGUUAGAAGCUAUGAUCUAAAUUAUAAUUCCAAUUAGUCACAAACUCUAUUCUUUCAUGUUCUCGUAAAAGUGACAUUGAUUAGUGGUAAUGAAAAUGGACAGUGAAAAGUAAAAAAAAUAUAUAUAUAAAUAGUAAAAUAAUGGAAGUUUAUCAUAGGCCAUAAAAGCUUACACUAGUUUCAAUCUAACAUAAACAGAAGUAAAUUAGCAAUCAAUGCUUUUUUUUUUUUCUUCCUUUUUUUGGUAUCAGUUCCUUCUUCUUCCCCCACAUAAACUUUCUCAAUGGAAUCACAGGAACAAAAUAAACCUCCUGCAAUCUCAUAAUCCCAAUUCCUCCUAACUUUUUCCAUUUUUCUUUUUUGUUUCCUAUACACAACAGUACCACCAGAACAAUGUGUCAAGAUGAGAAGAAAAGCUCCCAUUUUUUUUGGUUCGUCUUUCGUCUCAAAACCUGGAUAGUGUCUGUAUUGAUGUUGGAGCAAUAUGGAAGAAAGAUUGUGUGGGGAGGGGUUUGACUUAGAGCUAUUUUAAUCAAUCUGAAUGAGUCAAAACAGCCAUUUCUUUCUCUUGCUUCUUCUUCAAGUGUCUUUGCGCAGUUGCUGUCACAAUCUUGACGAAGAAGUUGAGGAGCAUGAGCCACACUAUCCCGUUCCAGAUCGAUGCAAACGAAAAAUCCCAUUUGUUCACCUACCCAAGACAAAAGAAGAACUCAAAAUUCAAAACUGAACUUUUGUGAAAGAUGCUAAUGAAACUUUCAUAGUUAAGGAAUGGAAAAGGAGUUAAGAGUUAAGAAACGGGGUAGCCAAAGGUUGUUUACCUUGAUGUGAGAUGGAACAGGGGAUGGUGCAUCAAUGUACUUUUCUUUCAUGGCGUGGAGUUUGGCUGUGAGUCCAGGCAACAUCGAAGCCAAACCCGGGACAUGGCUUAGUAUCCAUAUCAGCUCGUUCUCCAUCCAGUCGAGCAGUUGGUUAUUACAAACGCAAAUGAUAAAUAUUGUCUUCAUUAAGAAAGGAAAAACACAGAAGAAUGAAAGUUAAAAACUGAAAACCAUUUGGGUGUUGAAUAUUGAACCUAUGAAAAAAGAGGUUCCGCACCUGUAUGUGAGUUUUGAUGAUCGCCUUUCCGAUUAAAGUCGCCAGAAAGAAUUCCCAAAACGGAAUUCCAAAUUGUCCACACAUUAUUCCAGCAAGGUCAAACAAAGGAUUUGGAACCUGCACUCAAAUAAAAGUGGUGAGUAUUGGUAAAUCCUAAUGCAAAGUAUUGACCAAGAUGCCAAUACAUAAGGUCCUGAUCAUUGAUUACUAGAGAGCAAAAGAUGGUACAUGACACGGUAAAUACAGUCAUAAUUAAUUGUUACUGCAGGAGGUAAGGUAAGUUGGACAAUGUAUACUAACCGAAGCUAGAACCAAGACGGUAAAGAAAUUCAAGUGUUGCGAAUGGGUUAAUAACCAACGCUUAAUCCGGUUCAGGUAAGUCGCCAUAAAUCCGCUAUCCUCAGAUGAAGAACCAUCU